rnacentral:lncRNA from 1 species
UGUAAGUUUGAGACCAUUUCCAUAAGGAUAAGAUGGCAGAGAGACAAUGAAACUGUGUUCUAAGUUGAAACUAGCUUAGAACUAGUGCAAUUGCCUAUGUUUUAGUUGUUUUUUUUUUUUUGUCUCAUGUUUGUGUCUCUUGAUAAAUUUUCAUUCUGUCCUCUUCUUCCCCUCUCACUCAGACAAUCUUCCUCUUGCCAUUUGAUUUCUUCUCUUCCCAAACGGGAACGGAUGUUGUUACCCUGAUAUGUUUUGUCCUUUGAUGCCAUCUUUUCUUGUCUUUGGCAUGUAAUAGGAUCUGGGCGAAUAGGCAAUCCGCUGCUAGGUCAAAGGAAAGGAAGAUGAGAUAUAUAGCCGAGCUUGAGCGGAAAGUACAGACACUUCAAACAGAAGCAACAUCACUCUCUGCCCAGCUUACUCUAGUACAGGUAGUUUCAUCCGCCCAGCACCUUCUAUUCUUUUGUUUCCUAUACCAGUGUCCAGAUUCAAGGGUCUGUUUUCAUUUUCUUUUACUUUUAUGUUUCUUUUCUUUUAUUCAUUUAGAUCUAAUUAUUCAUUUGAUUCUUCUCAUGGUAACUUAUGAGCAGAGAGACACCAAUGGUUUGACUGCUGAAAAUAGUGAGUUGAAACUGCGCUUGCAAGCAAUGGAGCAACAAGUUCACUUGCAAGACGGUGAGCACCUCUCAAAAACUUUUCGGCUAAACCAAUAUCCUUGCUUUAUUGAUCUAUUUUUAUUAUUAUCAUUAUUAUUAAUGGAAAGACAUUAUGGACUGUAUGAUUUCUAUUGAUGGUUUGAAAGAUUUUACAUGUGAUAAUUUGGUUGAAUGGGGACUGAUAUAGUAAAUUAGAUUGAAGCUGCAAUGAGUUCGAUAUGCAUUCUUCACAUAUACUUACCGUUCUAGACAUUUAAUAGCAGGGGUGCUGUGUGUAUGAAGGCAGGGAGAGAGAUCUGCACCUUAGUCUUUAUUGUCAUAAGCUUGAGCUGGGGUUGGUCCAAAUACUGGUACAAUUGGCAUCUGGUUCCUGAGAUGCUACCCAUUGUUUCAAUGUCCUGUUAUUUUGUCUUAAGGUCAUUAUACACUGAUAUGGAUCUUAUACUUUAGCAAAGAAAUAGUAUUUCCGGGAACUUCUUACUGCUAAUUUAUCAUCAUAAGAGUGCAAUAUGUUGUUUCUCAGACUUGAAAAUGCUUUGGAAGCAACAAUUUUACCCCUAGGAGAUACAGCAUUUGAGCAUAUGUUAGAAAAUGUCCUUUGGUGAUAGGAUUUCUGAUGCUGUUAUAAGCGAUAAUUGAAUGGUAGGUUUAUAUAUAUGCUUAACUUGUUGUUCGGAGUUAACUGUGAUUUCCUGUACGACAAAGAGUUGGAACUAAUAUGAUUGAAUUAGCAGUUUAUAGUAUCUCUUACUUUUUCUUCCUAAAUAUAGAAAGGUUCAUUACUGUAAUAAGUAAAUAAUUGUUUAUUGGCAUUGUUCCAACUAUAUCUUAAAUUCCUUUAAGAACUUGUGCUGCUUUUUCCAUCAGCUAUAUAAUUGAGGGAAAUGGCUAAGAUUCGAGAUUUUGUAACCAUUAGUAUGGAUGUGAGGUUGGUGGUUGUAGUGCAAUACUAUUUUGUUUUGGUUAGACUAGAAAAACCUGUAUGCAAUUGGUUAUGGUUGGGAACAGGGUUUGGGGCUUUCGGGAUACCGGGGAUUGGUGUAAAUGCCACAGGAAGAUAAUAAGAUAUAAUGCAAUUUAGUUGGUUUUUAUUACUUUAUUAGUGAUAGUAUGCUUGUAGCGGUAAGGAGUUGUCCUUUUUAACUUUGGGUUAUUGUAAAACGUUAACAAAUGAGCUACAUGUGGACAGUUUGGAGAUUGAUUAGAUAAGUUAUUAACCCGAUGAUGGAAAUACUUGAUCUCAUUCCUUGUUUAGUCAAGCUUCAGCUCUUUCAUUUCAAGUGUGAUAACAAGAGUAUCUCUUAAUAUAUUGAUAUUAUAUUAAUCUUGUGGUAUACCCUACCAGAAAUGUCGACCUUUUGUGGACUGCUUGUAGAUAUGAGUUUUACUUACAGUUGAGAGUGUAAAGAGGUUAUUCAUUAGCUCAAUGUUACUGUAUGGCUCUCAAAGUAGGUUUUCAACUUUUGGUUUGCAAAUUAGUUAGGCUGCACCUCAAUCAUAUUUGAGCUUUUCUGAUUGUUGCUAAUAUUUAUUAUAUUUUCUCCCUUUGUUGUUGUCCAAUAGCAUUAAAUGAUGCAAUGAAAGAGGAAAUCCAGCAUCUGAAGAUGCUGACUGUUCAUCCUAUGCCGAAUGGUGGAGGAAUGAUGAACUUUGCAUCUUUUGGAGCUAGUCAGCAGUACUACCCAAAUAACCAUGCCAAGCAUACUCUUCUGGCAGCACAGCAGUUCCAGCAACUUCAGCUUCACUCACAGAAGCAUCAGCAUCAGCAUCAGCAUCAGUUUUCACCAAAUCAACUGCAUCAUCAACAGGAGCAAACAGGGGAGAUGAGAGCUAGAGGUUCAAUGCCUUCCCCCAACAAGAAAGAUUCUUCAUCAGAUGUAAACUCAACCGCGUCAAAGGAUUAAGGACUGAGAGACCUAUAGGACUGCAGAGGUAUUUAUGGGAGUUUCCCAUUGUUUGAAAUCUUGGUUACACUCCAUUGUUCAAUAAGACCCAUUCUUUUUCAUUUGUUCUUUCACUUACCCGUUUUCUUUACUCAUUUCUACUCAACAUUUAUUGAGCUAAGAUAUAAUAUCAUCCAGUUUAGUUUUUGUUUUACGGAGUUGUCCAAUUUUGAUCCAUUCCAUUUCUUAUAUCGCCAGGCUGAGCUGUUGAUGCUAUAGAUAGGUAUGAGCUUGUCGUAUGAGUUUUAUGAAUGUCACGGAAGUCUGUUUUGUUCAUAUUAGUGGUCCUUUAUGAUUGUUUCAGAAAUUGGUGUUACAGUGGGGAGCUGCUUUUAUUCAGUUGUUUAAAACUGCCUUUGAUAAGUAAUAUAUUUUUGGUACUUGUUUUUGAGUUACUACUUCAAUGGCAUGUUUGUUUUUGAUGUCGCAGAUAAGGUGUUAUCCUUUAAACUCUGGUGAUUGGUACCAUAAGCUGCCAGUCGUUCAGCCUAUACGUACUAAUUGAGGUAAACCAAAAUGAUACAGGUACUGUAUGUUUUUUUUUUUUUUGGUUUUUACCGACAUGUAUCAUUAUUGAUCGAUAUUAAUUAGGUAUUGGUGCAUAUAAAUUUGUUUUCUUAAAGAACUUUCAAAAUAUAUAUUCAUUAAAUUAAGUUAUUGAACUUAAUUAAUUAUAAUUUACUGUAUUUUCAAUAACUUUGGAUAUAUUUUUUUGAAAGUAUAUUUUAUUAAAACAUUAGGAAAUCUUACAUGUAAUUUCAAAAUGUAGUUGAAAAUUGUGGAUUGUAAUCUGCGGGUAAAGAAUUUUUUUUUUAUCAUUCUUGUUCAUUUUGUUGUUUAUGCGUGAAAAUUCGAAUUUGUGUGUUUUUUAGAUUGCAAUGUUUCUUACCAUUAUACCCAAUAUUUGUUGGUGUCAAUAAAGAAUUGAGUAAGAGUGAAAUAUGCAGCUUAAUUCACAAUUUGGCACUUGUUGGUGUCAAUGAAGAACGCUUGUAUUAUAACGUCUCAGUUUUACGUAUUAUAUCAGUAAGCAACCUGUGAUGGAAAGUUAGAAUUGAUAAUUUAUACGAACGUUAACAAACAUUGAAAUUUGAAAUUAAAGGCAAACCUCCUUAAUAUCAGAUACAAAGCAUAUUUCGACCUUUCUUUAGUCUAACAUUUCGAGGUUACAUCACAGCAAUUAAAUCAGAUUUUCAGUAACAUAUAUGCAUAAAGCAUACACGAAUGAUUGUAUACAGAAGUUUAGAAAAAGCAUACUAAUGGUACGAUUGUUGACAGAAGAGAUAGAAGAGACAAUAGAGGGAAAAGACAGAAUUGAGAGAAAUCAGAGGAAGUAACCUGGCUCAAUAGCAUUCAUUUUUGCACAAUUGCCUUUGGUCCUUGUCAUCGAAUAUAAAGGAAAGGAAAAUCUAAGGAAAUACAACUUUAAAAGUUGGUUAAAACAAAUGGUAAAUUAAACAGUAAUUAAUGAAGCUAAACAUCUCGUUUAACUAAACCCUUCUACGUAUCGUUUCAUUAAUUUUUUCUUCCAAAACGUUUCGUUUUGUCAUGGUUUAAUUCUAGCUCGUGACAAAUACCCCCUGCUUGAAAGGAUCCUUGACCUUAAGGAUCAAGGUGCGGGAACUUCUCCUUGAGCUGUUGGAAGGGUUUCUAUGUAGCAUCUUUUGGGAAUGAGUGUGCCUAUUCCACCAAAACCUCGAUGACCACAACGUUGCCCUUUUUCACCAUUCUUCCUUUUAAGAUCUUAGCAGGUUCCUUAGCCCAAGUUCCCUGUUCAUCGAUGACUGGUAAGUGAGCCUAAACAGGAGUUGUACCAACAUGCCUUUUCAGCUGUGAGACAUGGAAGGUGGGGUGCACACAAGAUCGAGCAUGUAAGCCACUUUUUCGACCUUAUCUUCCACUUUGAAAGGCCUAAAAAACUCGGGAGCUAGCUUCUGAUUCAGGAUUCUCCUCACUAAAUGUUGUCUAUAGGGUUGGAGUUUCAAGUAAACAAAGUACCCUGCCUCAAACUACCUCUCUGUUCGGUGCUUGUCAGCUUGUUGUUUCAUUCAAUCUUGGGAUCUCUUCAAAUGAAACUGUAACAACUUCCUAGGAGCCUCUGUUUGUAGUUCCCUAUCCACAAUAGCUACCAGGGAUGUUCUAGCCAAGUAUGGUAAAUGGAGGGGAGGGUUUUGCCCAUACAAAGCCUCGUAUAGUGUGACUUGGAUGGUUGAGUGGAAUGUGGUGUCGUACCACCACUCGGCCAAGAGGAGCCAUCUCUACCAGUCUUGUGGCCUCUCUCUUGUCAUGCACCUCAAGCAUCCUUCAAGGCACUUGUUCACAACCUCAGUUUGUCCAUCUGUCUCUAGGUGGUAGGUAGUGGACAAAUGUACCUUGGUGCCCACCCUUUUGAAAAGAUCUUGCCAGAAGUUACUAACAAAGACUUUAUCCCUAUUAGAAAUGAUAGAGUUUGGCAUCCCCUACAACUUAUACACAUUAUCCAUGAAGUUUUGAGCUACAACUACAACAGUAAAAGGGGUGUGCCAUUGCUACAAAAUGAGCAUACUUGGUGAGACGGUCAACUACUAAAAAAAAUAACAGUUUUACCUUUCAAGUUUGAGAGUCUUUUAAUGAAGUCCAUGGAGAUGAAAGGCCAAGCACGGUCUGGGAUUGGAAGUGGUUGCAAAAGGACAGGAGAUGCCACUGUUUCUGACUUACAUCUUUGGCAUGUAGAACACUUCUUCACCCACUUAUUGACAUCAGUGGUUAAGCCUUUCCAAUACAAAAGGCUUGUCAGCCUCUUUCUAUUAGCAUGUACCCUUGAAUGUCCUCCUAAGGUGCUUGCGUGGAAGAGCUGAAACAGUUCUUGUUUGAGACCAACAACAUUCCCUACCACAAUCUUCCCCUUUCUUCUAAGAAAUCUACCAUCCCAUGAGUACUUAGGGUGGUUGGAGCCUUGCUGCUGAACUUCUGAACAGAGUUUCUGAACCUUAGAAUCCACUAAGUAAGAUACUUGCACCUUGGAUAAUAGAUUAAAACUGAUGGUGCUUCCAGUGAGCUGUAGAUUUGCCCUUCCUUCAAGUCUUGCUUCCUUGAUAGAGCAUCUGCUGCUAGGUUGCCAGACUCUUUCUUAUAGACCACCUCAUAGUCAUAAUCGAGCAUUUUUUCUACCCACUUUUGCUAUAAAGGGGUGACUGUCAUUUGAUUAGCUGAAAACCUUAAGCUUUGAUGGUCAGUCCUGAUUUUAAAGUGCUUUCUCACUAGGUAUGAAUGCCAUUUCCUUACAGCCAAGAGCACAUCAAGCAUUUCUUUUUCAUAUAUGGAAAGGGCUUGAUGCCUUAUUCCCAACCCUUUGCUAAAGUAGGCUACUGGCUUCCCUUGUUGUUGAAGGACCGCCCUCACCCUAUAUCCUGAAGCAUUAGUGUCCACAUAGAAUUUCAGGCCAAAUUCAAGGAGAGUCAAGACAAGUGUUGAGCAUAGGGCCUAUUUCAAGUGUUCAAAAGCAGCAGUGGCUUGUUCAUACCAUCCCCAAACAUCUUUCUUAAGUAAGCCGAUGAGAGGUCUUGCAAUGACACCAUAAUUUCUGAUAAACCUCCUAUAGUACCAUGAAAGUCCAAGGAAGUCCCUUAACUCCUUGAUGGAAGUAGGAAUAGGCCAAGUUGCCACACUUUCUACCUUAGUUUUGUCCAUAGGAAUAAUCACCUUGGUGAUGAUAUACCCCAAAUACUUCACUUGCUUAGUCCCAAAUGAGUAUUUGCUCUUCUUAACAAAGAGCUGAUGUUGUCUUAACAGUGUAAAAACUUCCUUUAGGUGGCUUAAGUGAUGUAACCAAGUGGGAGAAUAUACAAGAAUAUCAUCAAUAAACAAAAGUACUAUCUUCCUUAGUAGUCGUUUGAAGAUGAUGUUCAUUAAUCCUUGAAAGGUAGAGGGGGCAUUAGUGAGCCUAAUGGGCAUCACCAAGAACUCAUAGUGGCCCUCAUGUAUUUUGAAAGCUGUCUUGGGAAUUUCAGCUUCAUGCAUUCUAAUCUGGUGAUAUCCCGAUUUCAAAUCUAGUUUAGAGAAAUCCUAGCUUGUCCAAGUUCAUCUAGCAGCUCUUCGAUGAUGGGAAUGGAGAAUCGAUCUUUGACUGUUAAUUGGUUAAUGUUUCUUUAAUCAACACAGAGCCUCUAUGAAUCAUCUUUUUUCUUGACUAUUACUGCUGGUGAAGCAAAAGGGCUGGAGCUGUCCUUUAUUAUCCUAACAUUAAGCAUCUCUUUAACCAAUUUUUCAAGCUCAAAUUUCUGGAUCAUAGGGUACUUAUAAGGCCGUACUUUGAAAACUGCCCCUUCAUCUUUAAGGGCUAUAUUAUGGUCUUGAAGCCUUGUAAGGGGUAGGCCAGAGAUAGUCUAAAAAAUAUCCUUGAACUUACUAAAGAGCAACUAUAGGUCCUCUGGCACUGACUACACUAAGUCUUGUUGACAGUGUCACUUGUUCCAUAUUGGUCAGAACUAAGGCACAAGGGUCCAAUUCACUUUCUACCAAGGAAAAACACUUUGCUGACUAUCCCUGACUUAACAUUUCAAUAUUACCAAGUAUAACGCCCUUGAUAAUACAAGGGGUUUCUUUUGAUGUGAAUUGCAUGGUCAUGGAGUUGAAGUUCGAAUUUAUAAAUCACAUGGAGAGCAAUCAUUGUAUCCUGGGAACCACAUCACAUCCCUUAAGAGGUAAAACCAUAAAGUCAGCAGUGAAGCUAACCCUUUGAACCUCCCAAGCUACCUCUUUACAAACACCAGUAGUAAAUAUAUGUCUUCCAUCAACUACAGUGACCCUCAUUUGCUGUUGCUGCCCUACAGGUAAAGACAACCUGGACACCAACUUGGAGUCUAGGAUAUUGUGUGUACUCCUCAAGUCCACCAAGAAAAUAACAAUAUCUACUUCAAUCUUUGCCUCGAAUCUCAUAGUGUGGGGACCUUGAGACCCUUUUAUUACAUGCAAGGACAACACAUGACCUUGUGCUUGCUCCCUUUCAGUAGGAAGAUCUUCUAGUUGAUCUGAGCAUUCUUGAAACUCCUUAACAUCCUCUUCACUAGGUGAAUCUAGCAACAACUGAUAGAGUUGGCUUUUAACACAUUUGUGGCCAGUGUGAUACUUAGCUCCACACCAGAACAAAGGCCCUUUUUGUUUCCUUUUUGCCAUUAGUGUAGGGCUUACCCCUUUGGAGGGUGCUUUAGAGGUUACAUUUCCUCCUGAGGGUGGGUGAACAAAAGUACUCGACUGGUUGGAGACAACAAUUUGUGAAGAGACCACAGUAUACUAAUCUGGAUUGAACCUCGUGACAAUGGUAGUUCCUACUAAAAUUCCUUUUCUUGGAAAAGUUUUAAGGAUACCUUCCACCUGUUGAACAAUAUGGAAUCCUUCUACCAAGGAUUGAGGUCUAAACAAAUAUAGGUAUUGUCUUAUGUCUUUUUUCAAGUUACAAAUGUAAAUGCUAAGAGCAUAUGAUCCAGACAAUUGAAAUUGGUUUAAUAGACUUACAAAUUUCAUGAUACUACUCCACUGAACCUUUCUAUUUCAAGGUCACCAAAGUGCUUCCUCAAAGCGUGGGCAUAACAGACCCAGUCCAACAAGGGAAGACCCCAAUGCUUUUGGGCGUAGAAGUGCUGCUAGUAUAGGGCAUGACCCUCAAGAUGAAGCAUCACUGUUCCCACAUUGUCACUAUUAGGUACCCCUUCUACAACAAAGUAUUGUUCUCGUUUCAACCACCAACUUCAAAAAUUCAUGCCAUCGAAAUGUGGGCAAUCCAACCUAUAAGUACGCUCUUGAAGGGCCUCGAUUUUUUGUAGGUUGGGACCUGACUACCCCACAGUCUGGGGGAACAUCGGAAUCGUCCUUGGCUGGAAACCUAGGGGGUGGUCCUCCAAGGACCCCCUUUUCUUUGGUUUGAGUAGUGGUUGUGGUGUUUGAAGCAGUUGUAUUCCCCGGGUACAUUUCAAACAACUAGUGUAUCCCCAUUUGAAACUCCUCUUUGAAUCAUUGAAAUUGAACCUCCAUUUUGGUGUCCCACUUAGAAUCCAAUUGAGAAAGUUCAUCGGUCAUCGCUAACCGCUAGCUUUGAUACCUUUGGGACGAUUGUUGAUAGUAGAGAGAGAAGAGACAAUAAAGAGAAAUUAGAGGAAGAAAUCCGGCUCAAUAGCAUACAUUUUUGCAUAACUGCCUAUGGUCCUUGUCACCGAAUAUAAAGGAAAGGAAAAUCCAAGGAAAUACAACUUUAAAAGUUGGUUAAAACAAACGAUAAAUUAAACAAUAAUUAAUGAAGCUAAAUGCCCCGCUUAACUAAACCCUUCUGCACAUCGUUUCAUUAAUCUUUUCCUCCAAAACACUUUGUUUUGUCAUGGUUUAAUUUCAGCUCGUGACAACUAAUUCUUCAUAAAGAGUUCCAUCCAUUCACUUCUGUUCUGGGCUACACGAUGAAAAAAAAAAUGGAAGUGGAAAAUUAGGAAAAAGAAAAAUAAAAUAAGAUCACCUAAAAGUCCUACCCUCAUUAAUUUGUUCUCAUCAAUCAACGAUAUUUUAGUCUUUGUAAUAGUAUAUGGGAUCAAAUCCAUUGAUGACUUUAUAUUUAAGCAUUAAUUAUUUUAAAAAUUUAUUUUAUAUUGGGUAAAUAGCUAGUGAAAUGUUUUAACUCUGCAACAAGCAUUGCAUGUUUUAUUUUUCUAAUUUUUGAAUUUUUAUCUUAAAGUUACACUAUAACGGGAACAUACAUUAUUUUUUUAAUUGGAAGAUGCAUUAUUAUUUUUUCUAAUUUUAUAUUAAUUUUUAUAAACUAAAAAAAAAAAUUUGAAUUUUAAGGUUGUACCUUUGAAAUCCAUUCAAGGUUGCUCCAUGCUUGGCCAAAUCGAAAUGUGCUUAAUGUGAGCAAUGUAAGGCUGAUCAACACCAUCCCUUUGGCAUCUUUCUGCUAAUUUGGGACAAUUCCCAAUUCGAAAAUCUUGUGAGCUGAGUCAUUCCCUCCGGCAUUGAUGUCAAGCUACUACAUAUUUCAAUGUGUAGAAGUUGAAGAGAAGUUAGGUUCUGCAACAACUCCUCUGGUAGAGAAUCUAGCUCUUCCAUGCCUUUAAGCCUUAGACUUUCCAAUUUUUAGAAAGGAGUAAAAAUUGAACAAGCAGAAGAAGGAGCUAAUUCUAAUGUUGCACUCUUCAUCUUCAUUGUGGGUUCGAUCAAUGGCUUCCACCGACUCUGUCCCAAACGUAAUUCUCUAACUGAAGGAAACAAUGGCAUAGAGAUUAGAUUAGGGCAACUUUUGAUAGUUAUAUUUGAAAGGCAAGGAAAGCAAGUUGGCUGCAUAUUUGAAGCUUCACCGACAUCAUCUGGCCUCCACCAUCCCUUUAGAUUUGGGCAGUCAUCUAUGUAUAGUUCUUCUAAGGAUGGGAAAAAUGUUGUUGAUAAAGAAGAAGAUGAUUCGUUUUGCAUUUCAGUCUCUGAAACAUUUUCCAACGUUUUCAAUCUUGAAAGCUGAACAAGUUUGAGGAAAGAGUGUAGUGACCCAAACUCGGCCGGGACGGUCUGACCUAAAUUUCAAUUGUCUCAUUAGCCAUCGAAGUGACUCUCCGUUUAAACCACCACAAAACACACCAAUCGACUAAUCACACCACACAAUUAAUCAUGGAAUAUUUAAUAAAAACAUAAUAUCAUGCUUCCGUUGUGUUACUCUGACAAACAAAACUAAUUCACAUUUUAAUAUUUAACAAACAAUUACCUAAAAAACUUUAGUUAAAUUUACAUACAUGAAGUAGGGUAUUUUUAAAAAGGCUAUAUUUUUAGGGACUUGGAAAAUCAUUUAGUUUAAAAAUGUAAAAUUAGAUUUAAAACGUAAUAUAUAGUAACAUGUUGGGAAAAACACCAUUUCACAAAGUUUAACAUUAGUACUAUAAGAUUUAACGUAUAAGUCUUAUUUUGGAAAUUUUAUUAAAGCAUCUCGCACAACCUCAGAAAAUUAUUAAUUAAUUGUUGAAAAAUAUAGACAUCACAUAUAUAAUAAUGGUAAUUACAUGUUAUUAUUUACUAUCAUGAUAGGUUAUCCCAAAUUAAAAGUGAUUUAAUUUGGUUAAAAUUUUAUUGGGAUUUAAUUAUUAAAUAAAGUAUGGGUCAAAUAUGUGUAGGUACUCUAGUAAUUGAGUUCUAAUCAAAUUCUAAUUAAUGACGGGCUAAUUAGGAAUUAGAACUAAUAUACCAAUGUUAUAAAUAUUAGGGUUAUGGUCCCCAAAUUACACACAAGAUAUCUUUUCUAAUAUCCCAUCCUUAGCAAAGAGAGAGAAAAUAUUCUCUGAAUUUUUUAUGUGCUAAUUUGGAAGAUCAAAUCCCCAAGAUCUGUAGAUUUCAAGAAAUUCAUAGAUUCAGGUACACUUCCGCAUCUAGUUUUGUUCUUGAUUUAUCCUUGAUGAUUUGACAUGAUAGAUUCUGGUUUAUUAAGUUUUAUUUCAGAUUUAUUUAACAAAUCUAACAAGUGGUAUCAGAGUUUUGUCAUGUUGAAUCAUUGAGAAUGAAUUGAUUCUUUAUUAUUUUUGGAUUGAUUUGUUUUUCUUUUUUAAUUUUAUGGAUUUGAUAUUUUAAUUAUAUAUUAUAUUAAAUCUUUGAGAUUCCUGAUAAAUUUUUGGGUUUUAAUUCUUUAAAUAAAGUUUUAGGGUUUUAUAAAUAUAAUGUAGUUUAAUAUUUGCAUAUGCUAUUCGAAAGAUGAAGGUUUAUGUAUUUAUUUAUUUAUUUAUUUAUUUAUUUAUAAUCAAUUGAUAAAAAUUGAUUUGUGAGAUUUCUUUCUAUUCUUUUCACACAAUUAUUUUAUAAAUUUUGGUUAAAGUCAUUAUUAAAUUAAAGUUAAAAACUUACAACUUUUUGCAAUAAAAGAAUUCCAAUUGGGUUGUAUAACUGGUUUUGAAAGUUAAUUCACUUGAUAAUCGAAUAAAUGAAUGUUGGUAAGAUGUUUUUUUUUCGCACUGUUUGUUUUAAAUUCUCUGUUUGCGGAUGAAUAUAUAUGGAAUUAUUGUCUUUAUUCAUGAUGAAUUAUAUUCACCAUUGAAUUCAAUUUUAUAUAUACGAAUGAUUACUUUUGAUUUCUGUUAUAAUUAUUUUAUAUAAGUUUUAGUCCUUAUGGAACUCGACUAAAAUUAAAAUAUUUAGAACUUUUUUUAAAUAUGGUGGCUAUGAAUUUUCAUAAGUAGUUGUGCAUAUAAAGACUUUUAUAUAAUUUGGGAUUCUUUUUAUAUUUAGUGGUUAUGAAUUUUUUUUAAGUAUUUAUGCGUAUAAAGAAGUUUUAUGAUAAUGUCUUUAGUCAUGUAAGGCAAGCCAAUAUUAUUUUUAUAUUAUUAUAAUUGUGUGUAUAUAUAUUGUAUGUAUAUAUAUUAUAUGCAUAUCAAUGAUUUUGAGGAUUAAUGCAUGAUUAUAGUUUGUGUGAAUAGGUGUUUAUAACCAUUAUUCAAUAAGAUAUCUUUUAUAGUUUAAUUGGUGAAAUUAAGUUUUGAUGGAUAUCGUUGAAGUUGUUAAUUUUUUUUUGUUAUGGUUAUAUAUUUAAUUUUAUGGGUGCUUUGGUGCAAAUUCAUGUCAACUAUAUACAUAUUUAAAUAUUUUGGUUUUAAGUUUGGUUCUAUAAUAUUAGGUUUUGACAUCUUAUGGUUUCAAAUAUUUGGUUAAAUUAUGAUGAUAUGGUUUAUUGUAUGAAUUGUGGGAUAUGCCAACUAUUAUGAUUUUGUUUUUUUGAGAUUUAUUGCCUUGAAAAUAUUUUUCAAGUAUUCAUGUGAAUAUCUGUUUAAUCAUAAUUAAAACUUUGGAUUUACAUGGUAAAUUCAGGGAAAGUUUUUCGAUUUGAUUAUGAAUACAUGUAUAUGCGUGAAUCAUUUUGAUGUUUUUAUCUAUGCCAAAAUUAUGAAUACAUGUGCUUGUUAAUUAUUUGGCUUUAAACCACUACAUUAUUUCUGUUUGGUUUUGAUAAUAUGGUUUUGGAACAAAAAAGAAAUAGUCAAAAAUUAAGGUUUUCGGUUUUUAUUGCAUUAUUACGACAACCUUAUUUUGGGUUAUUUCAGAGUCUAUAAAGUAAUAAAAAAAUAGUUUUGACAUUUGACUAUUGGGGAAAUUUUAAAUUUGAAUACUGGUAUAUUUAUAUAUAUAUAUUUUAAAAUAACUUAAUUGAAGCAAAAAGUCUCCAAAGUGAUUUUUUUGUAUAUUUUUUUUGUUUUAAAAUAUAAAAGGUUGUGUGCAUGUAACUUAAGUUAUGUUAAUAUUGGUUGGCCCAAAUGAAAGUUAAUAAUAUUACAUGUGCAACUAUGGUAAUAAACAUGUGACAAUUAUUUAGUUUUACAUGUGAGCAAUAAAUUAGCCCAAAGGAAGAUUUAUGGUUCGACACAUCCUUAUUGUCAAUGUUUGAUUAUUACACUAAUAUAUCACUUGCAAGUUAAUAUUUUGUCCAAAGAUGAAGUAUUAAUGGAGUGUCCGAUAUCUUGAUAUGAGAUUUACCUUUAUUCAAAUUAUUUUAGUUUAAAUUUGAAGUCUUAUAUGAAGUUGUUUAUGGUUUAUGAUUUACUCAACUAUUGUUAUAUUUGCCAACAUCAUUGUAUGUUGUUUUGGGAUAAAUAUAUACAUAUAUAUACUAUUAGAUUUUAAUUUGAUUGAAAGAUGAAAUUAAAAGAAAUAUUUUGAAACAAAUAAUUCAGAUUUUGACUUUAGGUUUUAAUUAAGAAUGUCUAAUAUAUUAAAUAGAUUAGUUGAAACAAAAUGCCGCCAAAGUGACCUCUUUUGUGUAGAUUAGUUUAUUUGAAAUAUCAAGAUGAUUAUAUGUUUUUUUUUAUUCAUGCGUUUAUUAAUUGACCCAAAGGUCAGUUAAUAUUUGGCAGAAUUUCAAUGACAUCUGUGGUGAUAAAUGUGUGACAAUUAUAAGGUAUUUUAUGUGAGCAAUAAGUUAGUCCAAAGAUUAAUUAAUUAUUUGACAUAAUUUAUUAUCAAUGUUUGAUUGCUACAAUAAGAGUAUCGCUUACUGUUAAUAUUACUGUCCAAAUACUUGAUAUUAAUGUUGUGUUUGGUAUAUUGAGAUGGGAUUAGCCAUUAUCUUGAAUUUAUUGUUUACUUAUGAAUAUUGACAUGACCUUAUUUUUAUUUAUUUUUUGUUCUAUAUUUAGCUAAUUCAUCUUCUACUGCCACAAUAUCUGUUAAUAUAAAUUCUAUACCCAUGCUUAAUGGGAAUAGUUUCAAUGGAUGGAAAAGACACUUAUAAUGUUUGACUGUAUGAACAUAGACCUUGCACUAAGGGAAGAGCAACUCGCAUUUCUCGCAGUGGAAAGCACCCCCUAUGUUAAAAGGGAUUUUGAGAGGUGAGAUCAUUCAAAUUGCAAGAGUCUAAUGAUCAUGAAGCAUAACAUUUCAGAAGCCUUUAGGGGCACAGAAUAUGAAAAGAUUACUCAGGCCAAAGUUUCCUUCACGAAAUUGAGAAACGUUUUGCUAAAAAUGAUAAGGUUGAAAUGACAUAACUUCUGACUUCUUUGAUGUCUAUAAAGUUAACGGUUAAGGAAAUUCUGAGCAAUCUAAGUGCUAUGAGUUUUAUGAUCCCACAAUUAGGAAUACUUUUGAGACGAGAAUUACAACAUUCUUUUAGGAUGUUGAGUUUGGAGGGAGAAAUAAGGUUAGAGACAUUGCUUUUAAUAAGGAAUUGAAUUCUAACUCAUUUCCUACUAUCACUUUUGAUGAUGUUUAGGUCCUCAUACCUAUCAUUGAUUAAGAAGUGAAUCUAGAACCUCAAUAAGACAAUGUUGAACAACUCCUUAUUCAAGAUGAGGUAAUUGUUCCAAAAGAACAAACUCAACAGCCUCAAGAAUGAAUUCCAUUAAAAAUGUCCACUAGAGAAAGGGUUAUAAUGGCUUUAUUAGAAUAUUUUGACCUUAAGCUGCAUCAGAUGAAUAUUAAGUUAAUAGUUUCUCAAUUGUAACAUUGAUCAUACAUUUAUAUGGUGCAACUAGUAAAUUUUGUGUCUAAUGAUGCAAAGUUAAUGAUUUGCAAAUUAAAGAAAUUCAUCUAUGGGUUUAAGCAUACUUCUCGUCAAUAGUAUUACAAUUUUACCAAAUGAUUAUCUCAUUCGGUUUAGAGAUGAAUUUUGUCGAUAAUUGUAUAUACCAUAAGUUUAGUAGGAGUAAGGUUCUAUAUUUGGUUUUAUAUGUUAAUAGCAUACUGCUUGUUAAUAAUAAGUAUAGUCUCAAUUAAUGUCCUAAGAAUGAUUUUGAGAUUACAAAAAUGCAUAAGAUUUUUUUUACAUUUUAGCAGUGGGAAGUCUAAUGUAUGUUCAUGUUUGUAUACAUUGGAAUACUGUGUACACUAUUGGGAUGUUAGGCAGAUAUUUCAAACAACCCUGAUUUGGACCAUUGGAUAGCAUCCAAGAGGGUUAUAAGGUAUUUUUAGAGAAUAAAAGAUUACAUGCUCACAUAUCGGAGGUCUAAUCAGUUAGAGAUCAUCAGGUAUACAGACUCCGAUUUUGAUGGAAUAUGGAUACAAGAUUUUGUCACUAAUGUGCAAAUUGUGAAAACAAAUUGCAGUAUUUUAUUCCAAUAGCAAUAGGAGCACAUCAAAGUCAAAACACAUAGACUUUAAGUUUUUGGUUGUUAAAGUAAAAGUUCAAAGUUGUUAGGUGUCUAUAAAGCAUAUUAGGAAAAACUCCAUGAUUGCGGAUCCUCUUACUAAGGGACUACACCUAAGGUUUUUCAUGAGCACAUUGCUCAUAUGGGUGUAAUAUCAUUUAAGGAUAUUUAAUUUUAGUGGGAGUUUGUACUUUUAUGUUAUAGACACAUUUUCAGUUAUUUCAGUUUACAGAUAUUAAUUUUAUUUUCUACAGAAAUAAAGUUUUUUUUUUGUUUAUUCACACUUUGGUUUUGGUAAGAUUUGAUCUCACUAAAGUUUAAGGAGGACUAGUUGGAAAUUAACAUGUUUAGAUCAUAUUGCAUGUAAUUUCCAUGCUACACAUCUAUACUUGAUCUAUGUCAUUUGGUUGUGUUAAUAUAUGUCAUCAAGGAUGGAUUUAGUUACGAUAUAUGUAAUGAAAGUCGCAUUGGUUCUAUGUUAACAUAAUUAAUGGACGAGAUUGUUCGAAAUGCCUUUUGGAUAUGAUAGUAAAAUAUUGAGCUCAUAAGGUUAUAUUAUGACAUGUAAUUAUAGAGUAAUUAGUAUAUAUAUGUGGUCCAGGUGGGAGAUUGUUGGAAAAUAUGGACAUCACAUAUGUAAUAAAGGUAAUUACAUGUUAUUAUUCACUAUCAUGAUAGGUUAGCCCAAAUUAAAAGUGACUUAAUUUGGUUACAAUUUUAUUGGGCUUUAAUUAUUAAAUAAAGUAUGGGUUAAAUAUGUGUAGAUACUUUAGUAAUUGAGUUCUAAUCAAAUUCUAAUUAAUGAUGGGAUAAUUAGGAAUUAGAACUAAUAUGCCAAUAUUAUAAAUAUUAGGGUUAUGGUCCCCAAAUUACACAUAAGAUAUCUUUUCUAAUAUCCCAUCCUUACCAAAGAGAGAGAAAAUAUUCUCUGAAUUUCUUUUGUGAUAGAUUUGGAAGAUCAAAUCCCCAAGAUCAAUAGAUUUCAAGGAAUUCAAGGAUUCAGGUAUACUUCCGUAUCUAGUUUUGUUCUUGAUUUAUUCUUGAUGAUUUGACAUGAUAGAUUCUGGUUUAUUAAGUUUUAUUUCAGAUUUAUUUUACAAAUCUAACAUUAAUUAGUUAGCAAGCAUUUAUCAGUUUACAUGACUUGACCAAAUUCUGUGUUACAUCUCAUACAUACAAAGCACAUGUUUGUUUCCAAAUCACACAUAAAACAUCUAAGGCUUACCUCGAUGUCCAAUGACUCUUCAACCUGCACUUACAAGUUAGUCGAACAAUUAUUCCAACCAAUUGUUUAAACAAUCAUAAUCCAUCAAUCAAUCAUCUAUCUAACGCAAUGAUAAAAGUUUUAAACCAAACAAUUAAAUAGUCUAUAGUGUCCAAUUACAACCCAAAAAUUAUAAGUCUAAUACUAAAUCCCAUAACUUGGUCCCACAUUGCCUUCUUCAUUGGGUUUGGGAACACAAUGUCAUACCUAGAUAUAUCCUCGAUUUGGAUCACUUGGAUGACUCACUCCCACACCUCUUCAAAAGCUAAGUCACUACAAUAAGUUUAAUAAUCAUUCAUACGGCUUAAUUGAUAACAUAAAACACAAAAAUUGAGUUCGAACAACUAACAUCUGUUGGAACGCCGGCAACCCUACGGCGCAGCGAAAAAUUAAAACAUUCGGUGAUCCUAACCAUGGAUCCAUGUGUGAGGAACGAAUCGGGGUGAAAUAAAGGUUUCGAAAUUACCGAAUCUUUAUUCUGAGUAGACAGCAACGCCUCAGCAACGAGCAAUCUGAUCUGCUAUCGAACCAAGCUGAAAUCUAUCGUGACUCCGGCCUUUACGUAAUCCACCCAGUUGACAAUGAACGGAAGGAAUCCCCAAAACUAUUUUGGAAAAAAAACUUUGCUUUGGCGGCUGCUAGAUCCCAAGCAAAGAAAAACGAGAUUUUUAUAUCUAUUUUUAGGGUUUCAAGAAAUUAAAUAAAUAUAACUAUGUUUUAAACCAAAAAUUAUAAUUACAUUAAUUAUAAUAAUGAUUUCGGUAAACUAUAUAUUUAUUUGAAUUUAUAUACUAACCAAAUUCAUGUUCUCAUUAUGCGUACAACAACCUUGUAUAUAAUGUGUUCGAUAUUUGAUUAUCCAAUUAAAUUAAUUCUAUAAUUAAUUUAAUUCAAGCGACAACCAAACACAAUACCAACUAUGUUUUAUUUCGUUCAUUUCAACUAUAGGGUGUGACCCUGUAGGUUCUUGUAACGUUAGCAGUAAUACUAGAACGAUUCCAAUGUUACAAACAAUGAGUGACACCUAGCAAUGCAUCAUUGCUACCUAAGUCACAAGAAAUCAUGAUUCGACAUAACCUUUUUAUGAAUAACCUUUCAUGCAAUAAUCCUUAAGUCCUUUAUCUCUGGAUUGGACACAAGUCAUGGAAUAGUCAGACUUGCAUAGUCCAUUCCAUGUUCCUUGAUAUCUUAAGUAGACUAUGAUAUACAAAUAAGUAUGACAUCUCAUAUCAACUUAUUUGAGCAUGGCCAUGCAUUUCUAGUCUCACUCAAUCAAGUGGCCUAAGAUAUUACUCCCAUUAUGUAGGAGGGACUUAUCCUAUAUCGAUCAACUAUAUCCCUCUACAUAGAUCGUGGUAUAUCCAACAUCAGCCUUUAUAGAACAACCAGUUACGGUGUACGUUUAACUGUAUCAAAAUAUACAACUCACGAUGUUGGGAUUAUGAUGAUCUCAAGUCUGAAGAUCAUAUACAUAUUAAUCACUAUGAGUAAUGUUGUGACAAUUACAUAAUAAUCCAAGAAACAUACUCAUAAUGGGUCAGCCCAAUAUGUUGUUCUCUAGCACACAUAUUCAUGCAUCGAUUUUGACAUUCCAUAUCAAUGACAACUCUUUAUCAUCAAUCAACUACAUGUUAGUCUUAAUGCAUUAUUGUUGUCCUAUCCAACAAUAAUACUUGACUAAGGACCUUUUAAGAAUAAUCAUAUUACUCUCAGGACAUUAUUAUAAAAUAGUUUAUUUAUACACACAGAAAAGAAACUGAAAUAAUAAUGGUAACGCCUUAUAUUAAUAAACAUGAUAAAUCAAGUAUGUUAUUACAACCAUCUCAUGAUUGAUCUUUGGGCAUACUCUAACAACAUCAUCCUAACAUCAAUGACUAAGUAUUCUAACAUUUUAAUAACAUGAAGUUCACAUAAGCAAGCUCAAAUGUCAAAAAAAUCAACAACUCAAAUAGAUUCUACCAUAUUGGACCACCCCCUUGGACCACUCCAUUGGACCCCUCCCUUGAACCACUCUCUUGGAAACCACACUACCUACGCCAUGAUGUCACUAAUCUGCAAAUGUUGAAAUGAAGGAAUGAGCUUUUGCAAGCUCAGUGAAUGUAAGAAUGACCACAACAUAAACACACCAUCAUGUAACACAACCAAACAUUUAUUCACAAGUAGUACAUUCUUAGGUCUAGCAUCACAUAGUACUAAAUCAUGCAUUGCUUAAAAGUCAUUCUCAUAGUACAUAUACUAUAUCAUUCAAGCAUAGAACAAACUCCGCACAAUUAUAUAACAUAAGAUAAUAUGUCACUUGGAUUAUGAAACAUAUAGUCAGCUCUAUCACCACACAUCGGAUACAUGGAUCUCCUUACACCACAUAGACUCAUAGAGUCAAACAUGUCCCAAAAGUGAAGCAUGUAGCUAACACUCCCCUUAUUUCCCCUUACAUGUCCUGUUGAAUGGAGCUUUAGCUCACAUUAUCCCUCCAAACAUGUCCCAGGGCCUCAAUGCCGAAAACCUUUACACAUAUAAGUGAGCACUCACAAUCCUAUGGCAUGCCAACUAUAUCCAAUGGUUCCAAGAUCACAAUGCCAAAAUACCCGAGAAACAAUACAUAUUGCUUACUGAUUAUCCGUGCACUAUCACUGCAUUUUAUCAUCUUUUGCAAAACACUAGCAUAUUCGUAUAACAUAUAUAUUGUACAUUUAUUACAUGUAUAUAAUUACACUUUACACAAUAAGCACCAUAUCCACAUAUCACAUAUCAUGCAUAUUAUAGAACCACAUAAUCACAAGAUAAGUAUAGUUCAAGAAAACUUACACUCAAAAUUUAGAGUAGGGGUUUAGGUUAUGUCUAAAUCCUCAAUUAUCACACGACUCGUGUUUACCAGUAGCAAUUCCAUACACUUACCACUUUAUGCUUUUGUCGAAAAUUGAAAGCUCAACUAACGUUCUCUAGCUCGUAGCAAUCUCUAACAAAUACAAAGCUUAACACAUAUAAUCAGACAAUAACCAUAGUCAAAUAUCAACCAACUAUUCACUCAAACUAACUAAAAUAAAAGCUUUAAGCUAAGUCCCCAUAUAACUUAAACUAUUAUCAUAACAAACUUUAUAAACUAAUAUCUCGAUCCAUACUAAGCCUUUUUGCUUAAAAUCAAUUUUGUUCAUCUAAUUAUUCGUCUAUGCCUAAUUUGUAACCUUCAAACUAGACAAAUCUACUCAAUUCAUGGUAUUGACAUUUUUUGACAUCUUUUAGGUAAUUUUCGUAAAAUUCAUUAAAACAUGAGAAAUCAUUAAUGAAACUUUAGGAUAAGUUUGAAAACCUUCUAAUCAUGCUAAAAAGAGUUGAAAAAUACUUUAAAACUAAGUUUUUAUGCAAAAUCCUGAAAUCCACCAUUAAUGGCUCGAUUUUUGGGUUUUAUUAAAAUAUGCGAUUCGAGGGCUAAUAAUUCAGUUAUAGAGUCUAAGUAAUAUUAAAAAUCAAUGGUGACAUGAAUGAUUACCUUUGACAAAACAAUGAAUGAGUUUUGACAAAAAUCUGAAAACCCCACUUUUGAAGAAGAUGAUGAAAUCUAUCGAGUUUUUGGGUGCUUUUCUUGAAGGUUUAUGUUAGCAAAUGACUUAGGAAUGAUAGAAAAUCAAUGUAUUGUGAUUUGGAACUCAAAAAUAAAUGGAGAAAGCAAGGGAAAUAGCAAGGGGCGCACAAACUUGAAGCAAAAAAAAAAACAAACAUGAAAAACAUGUUGAAGGGGAUAAAAUAGCUUCAAUUUUACAAAAUGGUAAAACUGCAACAUAAAUGCCUAUUAUUUUGACAUUGUUACAAAUCAGUCAUUUUCCAAAAUUAAGGGUUUCUAGAGCACUUUUUCAAAAAUUGAUUUGACAGUGAAAAUGCCUUAGUCAAAAAUUGAUUUGACAGUGAAAAUGCCUUAGCCAAAAUUCCCAAAAAUGCCCCUAAAACUCCUAGACCCUAUUUUGGGGUGUUACAUUUAAUCUCUCCACCCCAAUUUCACCAGAAUUUUCAGCUCAUGAAAUACAAUAAAGAAACCUAUAUCACCAACUUCAUUCUCAAUUGUUCCAUUUUGUUAAACAAAAUCCAUAACUUUACAGUCAAAUGUAAUGAUUAGUGUAUAAAGAAACAAUGAUAUCCCUUUUCUUAAUAAAUUCAUGAAUUUCUCUAUAUAAAUAAAUUCAUUGAAGUUGGGAUCAAUUGCAAAACAUUCACUACAUUUUUUCCCUUUUUUUUAUCAAACAACAAUUAAAGUCUUUAAUAUCUCAACAUAUAGUUUUUGUACUCAUCAAUCUCACAAAAAGCAUACACAUUGGUCAUUACCAUUAUUCUUGAUUAGGGCUUUUAAGCUAUAAUAUCUCAUCUAAUAGUUUUUUGCUUACCAAUUUCUCACAAUGCUUUAAACAUAGGCCAUCAAAAUUUUAGAAAUUUCCUACACUCACAGUCUUUUAAUAACAAAUGAUCAUGCUUAAUAAUAUUCAAAUUCCAAAGCUCUACCAUAUGUUAUUGAAAAAAAUAAACAAACACUCUCGACCAAAGUGCAUCUUCAGUCUCUUCAACAGUUUUCCCUUUUUUUAAAAUUAUGGACCACUAUGAUCUUCAAUUUUCUUUUGAGUUUAACCAUCACCAUUUAUUUUGUUAAUUCCAAAGCUUAUUUUAUCUAUCUUCAUUCUCCAAAACUUUGAUCAUAACCACAUUAUUUACAUUGGCUCAAGGAAUAUGUGCCCACGUUAAUUGAAGAAACCCAUGAAUUAUUAUAGUCUAAUGUUAGUUUACUAAGCUUCCAUAAUCUCCAUUGGUCAUUUUAUGUUUCUCUAACUUAAUUUUACUAUUUACAUCCUCAAUGUUCAAAGAGAGAAUCUCAUGGUUUUACAAUCCAACAUCAAAAGAUUAGCUUUGGAAAAAAAUGUAUAUACCUUACACCUUAAACCAUGGUUUUGAGAAUAAGUUUAUUAAUGAUGAACUCGUUAUCACAAUUUAUUGAUAAACAUAUGAGUUUGCCUAUCCUCUAUCCUCUAUAUUUUUACAAAAAUCUCUUAUGGUUUGAAUAUCAGAACUAAGUAAGAGACUCAUCUACAUAUUUCACACUUUUGUUAAUUGGUGAUUACACCUCUCUCCUUCAUUUGCUCUUUUGUUUUUCUCAAGUUUCUGAUAGUCACUUUCGACCAAAGCGCGUCCUCGAUCUCUUCAAGAUUUUUCACUUUCUUUGUUUUUUCACUUAUAGACCCUUAUGCUUUUUCAAUUCUUUUUUUAGUUUCACCACUACUAUCUAUUCCAUUAAUUCUAAUGCUAUUAUAUUUAUUUUCAGUCUCCCAAAAUUUUGGUCAUAACCACAUUAGUUACAUCGUCUCAAGGAAUUUUGCCCAUAUUAAUUGAAGAAGCCUAUGAAUUAUUAUAGUCCAAUGUUGGUGUGCUAAGCUUCAUUCAUCUCCAUUGAUCAUUUCACUUAUUAUUGUUUCUUGAUAACUGCUUCCACAUAGAUACUCAACAUCUAACUUUUACUAAUGCAUGCCUCAUCAUGCUUGAUAUUAUGCUCCUUUUUUUCAUUGUUAUGUUCAACAUAAAAUUUCUCAAAGCUAGAUUAUUAAAUAUGUCACAUCUUAUUUUUAAUUAUUUCCACUACUUACACAAACAUGUUCAUUUCUUUCCCAAUUUUUUUUCUUUGAUCAACAAAGUCACUUGAUUCAACAUUGGAUGGCAUUGGAGAUAUGGAUUGUUAGAAUAAUUUUCUAGACAAAAAUACUUAAUUGAUGCCAAUAAUUUUCUAUAUUUGAAAAUCGAGAACUAAAUGCAAUCACAAUUGAGUAUUGAAACCUCCUCAAUGUCACUUAAUCAAUUAAUUAAAAUCUUCAUAUUCAUUUUAUUGUAAUCAUAACUUUCUAUGAGUGAUUCUUCCACUAAUAGAAUCCCUUCUCAUAGAUCAACAAUGUUUCAUAUAAUCGAAAUGUGUUGAUGGUUCCACCUCUUCAAAUCGCUUGAUAUCCAAUCUAAUCCCCUCUUAAGAAACAUUUCUUUAAUCUCUUUCCACUUGAAACUCAAGAAAAGAUUGCUUUUAUGAAAAAAAUAAGAUUUUGGUAUUUAAUUUCUUCUCUACAAAAUUAUCUCUCAAGUUAUUAUUUUGGUAUUUAAUUUUUUUUAAGCACAACAAAAGAAAAAAAUAUUUUGUUCUUCUUUUUGUUUUCUUUGUGUAGUUUGGUUUGGUUGGUUCUAUAUUAUUUCAAUUGCUUGAAUAUUUAUAGUGCAAAUGUCACACCCCAAAAUAUAUGGGGUUAGUUAUAAUAAUUAAGAAAUAAACUUUAGGCUUAUUGGUUAAGUAGCUUGUAUAUUCCUUAGAAAUCCUAGGUUCUAUCCCUAGCUCUUUCAUUUAUUUGAUUUUUAUUUUCAACAAACUAGGAUGAAAAAUCACUUUAAAACAAAUACUAUUUGGAGUAAAAUUUUAUUAAGAGUGGGUAGUAGUCUAAUGCUUAGAAUCUACUCCUUUCCCUUGCUUACAUGUGUUCAAGCCAUGCCAUCCUCCUUCAUUUCAUUUUAAAUUUUGGCUAAAAUUGGGUAAUUUAUCAUGCAACCCCUCAAAGUUUGAAAACCCUAGCUAUCCAGUCCAUUUUCCCCUAAUUACACUAGGAUUAUGAUUCUUUUUCCAUUCAAAUUAGAAUUUUUCAUCCUCUUCUUUGCAUCAAAUUUUCUCUCCAUUAUUGAAAUUGUUCUUGCUUUCGAUAUAAAAUCAAUCUCUAGUAAAUUGAUUCUCUACUAAUUGUUGAUUAUCCUUUGCAAUUCCAUCAAGUAUGGUAAGUGCAUCUCAAUCUAAAGUUUAGGACCCCAAAUUUCAUAAAAUUUCUAUCCGAUAUUGAUCUUUCAAAUCAAAUAGUCAAUCUUUCACGGUUCUUGAUGAAUCUUUAAAGGACUUAAUUUAGGUACCCUGGACCAUAUUUGAGCACGAAGAACGUCGUUCGAGAUCCCGAUAAUAGCGUGUGUUCUUUUAUAAGCGAAUCAGGUAAAAUAUGCCUUGGAAUAGGGCCACAUGGCCAGCUACAUGGGCAUGUAGACCACACUGCCCACCACACGAUCAUGUGCCUUUGAAACCCUAAUACAGUUCGUGAACCACAUGACCUGGACCCUUCCACAUGAAUUGUUGAAUCUUAUUAAAGCUUAGAAAACAAACAUUAACUCUUGUAUAAUUUUCAUUUGAAAGACUCGAUUUAGGUGUCCCGGACUAGAUUUGAGCGUGAAGAACGUUGUUCGAAAUCUCAGUGACAAGUGUGUGUUCUUUUACAAGAGAAUUGGGAUAAACUAUACCUCGGAAUAGGGCCACAUGGCCAACCACAUGGGUAUGUAGGCCACACAACCCACCACACGACCAUAUGCCCUGGAAACCCUAGUGUGGUUCGUGAACCCCACGGCCUAGACCUGUAAUAGCCCGUUUUCAAUAAAUCAGAACAGUGGUUUUUGGACCACAAAUAUGAAGUUAUAAAAUUUAUUUUAUUACUAUUUUAUGGCCUACAGCAUGAUAGUAUUACCACAUAAAAAUUUCGUUAAGAAAUUUUACCGUUUACAUGCUCAAUUUGAUAAAAGGACUAAAUCGCAUAAAUUGCAAAAGUUAUGUUCUAAUAGCUAAAGGUGUUUAAUAGCUAUAUAAAUUUAAAGUGGAGGUCCUUAUAUGAUAAUUGGACCAUUUAUGAGUUAGUGGAAGAUGUUGGCUUGGUAAUUUUGAAAUCUAGUUUGAUUAUUAAAGUUAAUUUUGGAAAUUAGUAAUUAAAGAUAAAAUAAAUAAUACAAAAUCCAGUCUUUAUCUUUUAUGUUCUUUCUUCAAUCGAAAUUAGGGAUUUAGAAAGCCAUUUUUGAGCUUGAUAUUCGACCAAGCUUACAAACUUAAUUGGUAAGUGAUUUUUAUCCUGUUUUUAAUGAUUUAUACGUUUUCGAGAUCGUUGUAGCUUAAUCUAGCUAGCUCAGGGACUAAUUUAUUAAAUUGUUAAAGUAUUAAGGUUUUUCCAUUGAUGAGCAUGCUUGAGUUUUGAUUUUUGAUGAUAGAAAUUGAAUGGUUGUUGAUAGAUAAACAACUUUUGUUAAGGGAUUUUUAGUGAAAUUGCCAAAUAAGGAUUAAAUUGAAAAAUGUAAUAAAUUCAUGGUUAAAUUUGUAAAUUUCUUAAAUAUGUGGGAUGCUAUAAGCAUGUAUAUAGUUUGACUAGGCUAGGGUAGGGAUAAAAUUGAAUGAAUUUUAUUUUUCAAGCCUAGGGACUAAAUUGUAAAGAAUUAAAAGUAUAGGGGAAAUAGUAAUUUUUCCAAAAAUGUUUGUUGGACUAAAUUGAAUAUGAAUUAUGUUAAAUUGAGUUAAAUUCAUUCGUAUAGAUCCGGUUAGACCUCGUACAGAGUUAGAUCGGGGAAAAGGAAAAAUAUCGGAUUAGUCGCCUUCGUAUCUACAUACACUCGUUGAGGUAAGUUUGUGUAAUUAAAUUGUGUAAGUAUGUACGUAAACUCGUAUCUACGUAAACUCGUUGAGUAAUUUUUCCAAAAAUGUGUGUUGGACUAAAUUGAAUAUUAAUUAUGUUGAAUUGAGUUAAAUUCAUUCGUAUAGAUCCGGUUAGACCUCAUACGGAGUUAGAUCGGGGAAAAGGAAAAAUAUCAGAUUAGUCGCCUUCGUACCUACGUACACUCGUUGAGGUAAGUUUGUGUAAUUAAAUUGUGUAAGCAUAUGAUUUGUUUGAGUUAAAUGUAUCAUAUUUGCAUUACCAUCAUAUAUGAAUACCGAUAGCAUAUCCGACGACGUACAACGAUUACCGAGCCUCAUUUGAACCUUAGGAAUUCGUAGGAUACAAAUGACAUGUCAAUAGGGUUACCGUUUUUAGCUUUUAUGAGCUUACCAUUAUUCAGCUCAAAGGAGCUUACCGUUUAUGGCUCAUAUGAACAUACAUGUACAUGAAUUGACGGAUUACAGUUCAGUACGCCUCGUGUGUACUACCCGCGUAUCUAACGAUAUUCUAAAUGGUUCAAUGGGCAUUGUUCUAUUAUGAGAAUACAUGUGUUCAAUACGAACUACAUAGGUAUUUACAUGAAGUAUAUGAAAAUGAUUUGUACAUGAUAUAUAGAUACAUAAUUUGGAAAUUAUAUGUACAUGGAAGUUUGAUUGUUGUUGAGCUCAUACAUGUUUCUAGAUAUUUAUAUGAAUUACAUGACUAACAUAUAAGGAUAUGUGUCUAUGUUAUUUUUCGUGUUUUUUUUAUUGAUUCGGAAGCUCGUUCGAGUUGGAAGCUUGUUAGAGUUAUAUCACACUAUCCAUCGACUCUUUCGGUAUUUUUGGUUAUUUAAUUUUGAUUAUAAUGGCAUGUAUAGGUUAAUUUGGCCAAUGUUGGCAUAUAAGUGUUUUGUUGAGAUUAGCCACUUGUUUGGCUUGUGUUUGGUAUAUUUUGAUGUAUAUGUAUAUGUGGCAUUAUCAUAUUUAAUGUGUGUUUGAUAUGGUUGAAUGUUGAAAAGUAAAAUGUGGUUUGAAUAUGCAUAUAAGAUAUGUUAUAUAUCUUGGUGUGAUUUAGUGCUUUGUUAUGAAAAACUUAUAGGUAUAUUGAUAAUUGGUUUAGAAUGGUAUAUUUGGUACCGAAUGGGUGAGCUUGAUAAGUGAUCUACAUGAUAGGUUUUGGUACUUUUAUGCAUAUAUGUAUUUGGUCAUUUAGGUAAGUUUGGAUACAUGGUUGACAUGUUUUUAAAUUGUCAUUUGAGGUGCCUAAGGGCAUAUUGGUUGUAUGUGAUCAUGUUUACAACUUGCUUAAGUUUGUUUUGGGAUACUUGAUUAUAGCUAGCAUAUAUAUGCAUUUUUGGGAGUAGGUUGAUGUCAUUUUUGAGUGAGAAAUGUGGCUUGGAAAAUGGCCUAUUUUCGUCCACAUGGGCAAGUGUCUCAGCCGUGUGUGACACACGGCCAGGUGACACGGCCGUGUGUCCCUUUUAUCUUUUAAAGAGUGUAAAUCAGUAUGCUUACACGGCCUAGCACACGGGCGUGUGGCUUGGCCGUGUGGCAUAAAUCAGUGAGUUAAGCAGACACAGAUUGGGACACAACUGUGUGUCCUUAUUUCGAAUGCCCAUAUGGCCGAAAACACAAGCGUGUCUCUUGGCUGUGUGAAUCACACGACCUGGCCACACCGCCAUGUGACCUCUGCAGCUUUGAAAAUUGUAAAUGUUUCUGAAAUAUUUUUUGAGUUUCUAAUUUAGUCUCGAUUUGUUUCUAAGGUGUAUUUUGGGCCUCAAGGGCUUGUAUUAUGAACAAUAUGCAUGAUUAUGAUUGGUUUCUGACAUGAAUGCUAUAUGUUAUGAAAUGUUUAGAAUUUUUGUCUGUCUGAUUUGUAUAUCUGGUAAUGCUCCGUAACCCUGUUCUGGCAAUAGAUACGAGUUAGGGGUGUUAUAGGACCAUUCCACACAGCUUGUCACACGGUCGUGUCUCCCCUAUAGGUUGAUUUUGCAAAUUUCACACAACCAGAGUCUGUCACAUGGUCAGGCCACACGACCAUGUGCCCCAUGUUUUACAAUUUUUCCUAGAAAUUUGUAUUAUGUUCACUUUGGUCUAUGCUUGAUCUCUGAAUUGUUCCUAGAAGUUUUUGUGCAAUUAAUUAAUCUUUGCGUUAGUGUUUAUAUAGAAAUCCAUGAUUUAUAUGCCUAAAUUGCUACUGCUAUAAUAUGUUUAUUGAUAUUGAUUAACAUAAUCAUUACGGUGCUAUGAAUAAUUAUAUGAUAUUAAUAAUGCCUACUAUUAAGUGUUCUUGAUAAUUGCGAGUGUUAACAUUAUUACUGCCUCACUGAAUACAUGAUGAACAUGUUUAUUGCUAGUCUUGAAUGGAAUAAGUGUUAAGCACACCUACGGAUUUUUGCAUUAUUAUGUUAUAAAGUAUGUCAUAUUGCAUUGCAUGGAACUUGAUGAUUUGUACGGAGGAAGAGUAGUAGUUUAAUAAUCUACAAACCAGCGGUGUCUUGUCCACGAACCAAGUGGCAGUUAUUUAAUCUACAAACAUGUUGUGCACUCACAACAAGUGGAAGUAAUGGAAAAUUGUGGUUCGAUCUCGAAUCAAGUGGUAGCUUAGCUGCAAGUGUUUUUAUCUAAAAUACUAGUGGUUAAUCCAUAAUUUUUACAAACCCAGUGGCAGCUUUUAUAUGCAAUUACAUUGUGUAUCCACAACCAAUGGUAGUUUAUCUGCAAAUCAGCGGUGGUUCAUCCACAACCCGGAGUGAUAUGGUAAAUGAUUAUAGGGAACUCAUAAGUGAAGUGUGUAGCGAAGUUGGUUAGGACCUUUCUAAUAAAUUGAACUUGCAUUGCCAUACAUUAGCAUAUGCAUUUGAAACCGUGUUUUCUGAAAUAGAGUUGUGAAGUGAUUAUAUGAUAAAUCAUUAAUAUAAAGUGCUUUAUGAUUGUGAUUAUUAUCAAAAUUGCUAACCUACGUGCUUUGCCUGCGAGUUUUGUUUCGGUUUUCUUGUGAACGAGCUCACACUGAGCUUCAUAGCCCACUAUCCUUUAUUUUACAUCUUUACAGAUAACCUACCAAGUUAGGAAGCAGAAUCGACAAAUCGAAGGACUCAGCCCGCAUUGAAGUUUUAUUAAUAUUUUUAUUUUUACCCAUUAUCAUUUAUAAUUCCUAUUAUUUGAGAACUGUAAAGUCUUAUUUAAAUUGUGGCACGGGUCUUAGUUUCAAGUUUAUUUAAGGCACACAUGGUAUUUUCUUUUAGGCUAUUAAUACAUGAGUUUUUAUUUUAUUUCCUAUUGCAUGAAACAUGAUUUACAUUAAAACUAGAAUAGUAUCACUUUUCCUCUACAUUGUUAAAAAAUGAGUUUUUUUUAAGCGAGUAGAUUAUAAAUAAAUUAUGAGAAACAAACAAUCCGAUUAUUAACUAAGUUUCUUCUAAAAUAAACAAAUGUUUUAAUAUGACUGUUUUGUAGAACUCUGAUUAUAUUAGGCCAUUUUGGUGGUUGAUGUAAUCUCUCAGAUUUAGACCUAACGUCUAGGCUAGGUUAGAGAGGUUACAGCACGAUUUAGAUCUCUAACAAAUAUAUAUGGAUUGUGUAUUAAAUAAAAAAAGAUACAACAAUUCAAUUUUAGUUUGUUGACAUUUUCUGGAGAAAAAAAGAUAUAAUUUUGAUUUGGAAGCUUUAACUACAAAUAAUGAAAUUAAAUUAUGAGUGUAUAAAAAACUGAAAUAUGUAUAACAAUGAUCAUAUUUGUAGUGAUUUGUGUAACUAAUAUAAAAUUGAGCAAGUAAAUAUAAAUAUGCAAUCAAGCAUUGAAACACAGAAUUAAAAUUGCAAGAAGCAUGUAUAUGCAUGCAACCAAUCCAAAAACAAUAUAGAGAGAGUUAGAUAAGUCCUUUUACGAUUUGGUAAAUUGCUUCUUCUUUUUUUCUUUAAACGUAAGUAGAAAUAUAGGAAGAGUUAAGUAAUUUUAGGAUAGAAAGUCGUUAGUUUUAUCUUCGUUAAGGUUGACUAAAAAUAAUAAUAAUAAUUUAGUUAUCAACGGUUAUACCUUUUGUUAAUAUGAUUUUUAACUCUUUUUUCUUAAUUAAAUUUGGCAAUUAAUAUUUUAAAAAGUAUCAAAUCGAGUUUUUUAACAGAAAUGCUUAUUAAAAUAUUAAUUUUUAAUAAUAUUGAUAUGGCACUUGUGUAAUAAUUCAUGUGCACAUCAAGCUGACAUGACAUUAUUUAUUUAUCUUGUAUGUCAUGUCAACAAUAAUUUAAUAUUAUAAAAAAUUUAAAAAAAUAAAAUAAAAUAAUUCAAAAAUUCAAGAAAUUAACAUAAAAUACCUAUGAACUAACAUGUUUAAAAAUUUAACAUUUUAAUCAAAAUAUCAGUUAAAAAAUAACUAUUAAACUCUUUUCAAUUAAAAUAAAAUAAAUCUCGAAUGGAUGGUGAAAGUGAAUGAUGAUUUUCUUUUCUUUUCUUUUUUUUAAUAAUCAAUGAUGAUUUUCUAAAAUGUUUAACUGCUUUUUAUCUUUAUAAAUUCUUUUUGAACUUUUAUUUUUUUUAGAAUAUAUAUUUUUAAUUUUAAUAUCCAUGAAUGCCACACAUAGUAUUUUAAUUGGGUAACAGUGUCACAAAUAAACCUUUUUAUUAACAUCUUCGCAUUUAACUGGUUAAUGAAAUAUAAUUUUAAUUAUUAAUUUAGAUAAAAAAAAUGAAUAUAAAAACAACUAAAACAGUAUAAUUUAAAGACAAAAUUAAAAUUAAAGGCUUCGCUUUUCAGAUCUUCUCAGUUGCUUUUUUAUUAUUGAAUAACUUGCUUUUUCUUAUCUAUUUUUACUUUACACUAUGUUGACACUAUCACUAUAUACCUAGGGCUUUAUACUAUAUAUUUUAGGUCAGACACUUUUGAUUUUUACAUGCUAGUGACUGUGCUUGAAAAUUUAAUUAGAAAUUUGGCAGAUGUAUUUUAGAUAAAAAAAAUACAUUAAAAAUAUUAAAUAAAAUAAUUUCGGGCAAAAUACAAGAAAAAACCCUUUUUUUAAAAUUUAUAGAAAUGGGCCCGGUAUUUUAUUAUUUACCGGAAUGGCCCAUUUUCCUCGAAAGCACGUCCACGUCAGCGCGAUGUCAGGGGACGUGGCAAAAAAACGCGUCCCUGAGGGCGCGCUUUGCUUACGUGGACAUAAAUCGCUCCCUCAAGGGCGCGUUUUGUUGCCACGUAAGCGCAACCCUGGGGAUGCGUUUUGCCCGCGCGUGAACAGUAGCAAUGGCUACUUUUUUUACCGUUGGUGACCCCCCAACAGUAAAAAAAAAUAUAAAAACCCCCCCAAACCUUCAUUUUUUUUCACAACUAAAUCCUUUCUCUCAAUUUCUCUCUAAUAUUCUCUCAAAUUCCUCUCAAAUUCCUAUUUAAAAGAGCUUCAAAUUUUUAAUUAUUUUUAAAAUAGUUUUAAAAUUUAUUAUUUUGAAUUAUUUUUUUAACUCGUAAAAAUUUUACCAAUUUAGCAAUGGCCUGGGAAUUAAUUCGUCUUGAUGACAAGCAUAUAUCCAUGGAACAAAUGAAAAUGGUAAGUGUUAAAUUUAUUUUUUAAAUAAUUAUUAUUUUACUAUUUGUUAUAAAAGUCUGUAGAUCGGAUAUUGUAAUGUUAUAUCCGCAAUAUGCAUGGUCCUCCAUCACCGUUGGUAGAGAAUUACCUGCGGGAGACGGGUUUUUGGCACGUGGCAACGGUAGGCCGGGGAUGCAAGUUGGACCCAAAACUCAUCAGUGCGUUGAUUGAGAGGUGGAGACCCGAGACGCACACAUUCCAUCUUCCAUGUGGAGAGUGCACUAUCACUUUGGAAUAUGUCAAUUGCAAUUGGGGUUGCCAGUGGACGGGUACGCAGUCACCGGGUCUGUUCAAUCUGGUGAUUAGGGAGCGGUAUGCUACGAGCUGUUGGGCGCUAUUCCGGAGAAUAUUAACGGAGGUUGAAUCGAGAUGGGCUGGUUACGAGACACAUUCCCGGAUCCGGAUGAUGAUUCAACCGAAAUAGAAAGAAUCAGAUAUACUCGAGAAUACAUUCUUCAGAUAAUUAGAGGUUAUCUGAUGUCGGACUUGUCAUGGAACCUUGUGCAUCUAAGAUGGCUGCUGAAACUCGUUGAUUUUCGAGCAGCUGGUGAAUUUAGCUAGGGGUCUGCCGUGUUGGCAACAUUGUAUCGGGAGAUGUGUGGGGCAACGCGACCGAAUAAAAUGAAAAUCGGAGGUUGCUUAUCACUACUGCAGUCAUGGGCAUGGUUUCGCUUUCCAUUUUUACGUCCUCAAGUGGACCACCCGUAUACAUUCCCACUUAUAAUGAUUUUAUAUUAGAUUUUACAAUUAUUACGUAAAUUUAAAAUAUAAUCGAAUGCUAAAAAUUUAUUUAAUUAGGUAGAACCAUCCGACAAGUUAUGCUCGAUUACCUACCUCUCUUGAAGAUAUACGGCUUCUAUUGGACCAACGGUCGGAAGCACAAGUAAGUAUUAAAUAAAAUAUAUAUUUCCAUAAUGAGAUAGUCGAUUGGUAUUUAGUUUUUAGUACAUAACUAAUAUUUCCAUCAUGGUCAUAUAGUUUGAAUGGACACUAUACGAGGAUCCGACAAUUCAGGCAGUAAUUCCGGAUGAGUACUUGCAAAAUCCAAACGGUUGGCAUGUGAAAGUCUCAUUGGUCAACUUUGCGACUGUGGAAAUGCACCAGUCGGACAGAGUAUUACGGUAAUUUAGAUUCCGACAACCGAUUCCCGUGUCUAAUGAGGUGUUGGAUGAUCAUCACAAAAUCGACCUACAGCAAUUGCAUACGGAUUGGCCGAGAUUUUGGUCACACUACAUCCAGCGUGCGUGCCGGAAUACAUGCCAUGGUUUAGGAUCCAUGGCAAGCCGUAUUUACUCUCGCCAGAGGAGAGCCAGUGGUAAUUGCGUGUCCAAAGGGAACGACGUGGCCCUUUAAAUCCAAGAAGAAGGGAUCAACGAGGCCCAGAAAUUCACCCGGCCCAUCAUCAGCGCUCAUAACUUCAUCAGGCCCAGCAACAGCACCGACACAGUCACCUGACACAGCAGUUCAACUGACGAUACCCACUGCACAGCCUUUUCAGAUGAUGCCAGGUGCGUAUGCUAGCCCUUUUAUGUAUCCUAACCCUUAUAUGUUUCCUUAUCCUAGUCCCGUGGCAGGUUGGAGUCAAUGGCCCGGUUCAUCUCUAUUUUUGAAUACACCGAGUGGAUCGCCAAUGUAUAGGCCAUCGUCACAUGAGGGAUCACAAGAAGGGGCGUCGCGGAGCUCUUCUUUUUACCAAACCCCAUCACUGUAUGGGUUUCAAACACCUUCGUCGUUGGUGAUGCAAACACCUCCACAUUCACUAUUCUACCAAUGUGGCUUAUCGACCCAACACCGACAACCAGAUCCCCUAUCGAAUAAAACAGAAUCCCCGCCGGAGCAACCACAACCCCACCGAAGCCGGACAAAGAAGGAAUCCAGCGUAACCGUCGACGACCGCCAUGUGGCACUGAAUCUGACGGGCACAGAGAUUGAUUUUUAUUUUAAUUUAUUUGUACAAAAUAGUUUAUAUUAAUGUAAUAAAAUACAAAAUAGUUUAUUUUGAAUAUUUUGAUAUUAUUUGAUGUAAUAAAAUACAAAAUAGUUUAUUUUGAAUAUUUUGAUAUUAUUUCAUUUAAUAAAAUACAAAAUAGUUAAUAUUCUUAAUAAUAAAAAUUAUUUUAAAUAAUUCAAUAUGUUGAACACUUGGCAUAUUAUUUCAUUUCACAAAAUAGGUAAAUAUUCAUAAUAAUACAAAUUUGUUUAUAAUGACGUUCAAAUAUUGCGAUUUGGGCAUGAUCGGCUUGUAUGGUUUGGAUUCCUACACCAUCCGCACAACUUGCCUUGACUGGUUGUUUCUCGGAUAUCCAUAUUGUUACGUAUUCUAGUCGAGCAAGGUCAACCCUUCGAUUUGCGAUGCAAUUCUCUAUUCGGUAACAGCUUAAAAGGGGCAAGCGAUACAGGCGGCCACUUACGUUCAUCUGGGACCGGUGGGAAAACGUGUCUCCAGAUGUUGUACAUGUUUUCUAAUUUGUACACUUCGUCGACAUAGCUCAUCGGAUCCAGACGGAGAUUCUGACAAACUGCAAUUACAUGAGCGUAUGGAUAACGAAGUGCAUCAAACAUCCCACAGUCGCAAGUCCUAUUUCAUAAGUGUACACGAUAUUGCCCGCCAAUAACACCUUGGUGCGGUCUGUCAAACUUUGUCAUGCGAAACCAUAAAUUGUCUUCAAUCGUGACACACUGUGUGCAUAGUGUUCGCCCGCGCCUUGGCCUUGUUAAUUUCUUGCACUACCUUACUGCACCAUACAUGGCCUCCCUGCAUCUGGCCUGCAUAACUCGCUGCUCGCUUUGGAAAUAGUGCCGCCAAAUGAAAAUAUGUCUCUCGCACAACCGAUGUUAUCGGUAGAUGGCGCGUUCCUUUUAGAAUAGAAUUUAUGCAUUCAGCCAGGUUUGAGGUCAUAUGGCCAUAUCGUAGGCCGCCGUCGUAUGCUUGUGGAAAAAAAAUUAGGUUUUUGUUGUUGACUGAUUUGAAUGGUAUUAAAUAUUGACAUAAUUGAUGAAAAUUAACACCUAACAUAUGUCAUGUGGGCUAGUUGUUAAUGUGGCAUGUCACAUGGAUAAGUUGUUGAUGUGACAUACCGUGUCAACAUAUUUUUUAAAAAAUAAAAACAUUCUAAAAAUUAUAGAAAAAUAAAAACAUUGAUGUCAAGAAUAAACGUGUACGAUUAUUUAUCCAUAUUAAUUCUAGAUUUAAAUUUUAAAUAAUCUAAAAAUUAUUAAAAAUGGUAAAUAUAUAAAUAAAUGUAAAUAAUUAUUAAAAAUCUAAAAAUUCACGUCCAAAAUGGAUUCUACAAAUAAUUAUCUAGGUUUAUUAUAACCAUUUGCCCAUGUUUCAAAUAUUAUAAAAAAAUAUUAAAAUGGUAAAAGUAUAUAAAAAUUAUUUAAAAAUAUAAAUUUUUUAAAAAAUAAUUAUUGAAAAGUAUCAUUUAAAAGUACCGUAGCCAUAGCCCUAAAUCUAACGUUUGAAAUCAUAAUUUGUUUUUACGAAUUUCGGAUAAAACCCCUUAAAGCUAUUUCCAAUAAAAUAUGGUGCCCUCGUAAAUUUAUAAGUCGAUUUAAUAUUUAUAUUUGAAAAAAACUUAAUAAUAAUUUGCUUCUGCUAUGAACAUCUUAUUAAGUGAAUGUCUAUUAAAAUCAAAAUAAGUUUUGAUGUAUUUUAAACUCUAAUAGUGAUUAGAAAUAGAUCUCUACUUCAUUUAUACUUCUUAUACCUAAAAAUAGAUAUGCUGAAGAAACAUCGUAAAUAUUUCGAUUGACCAACAAAAUACGCUCUCUCUUUGCCCUCUCAUUCUCUUCAUUAUUUACUCUCUGUCUAUUUAUUUUAUAAUAUGUUAUCAGUACGAUUCUCUUUUAAUUGUUUUUCUCCAUAAGUCCCAAAAAUAUACCAAAAUUUACUAUUGUCGAUUCCUCCAAAAGCUACUUCUAUUUCAAUUAAGGUCUACGCACUAUAGAUAAUCAUUAGAACCUUUAACAACUCAGGUACACAUAAAUCUCUAAAAAAAUGUUAUGCCCUUUUAUGCAAAGAAAUCUAUAUAAUUCUUAUGUGGUAUGUUUUUCUCCUUUGUUAAUUGAUUUUUUGGUAAAAUUAUUUUAUGGGAAAAUAUUAUUACUUUAAGGUUUCUUUUAAAUUAAGAUUCUUUUAUUAAAUUAUAGUAUGUAUAAUAUUUAGAAGUUUAAAGAUUUGAUUAUUAAUUUAUUGUUAUUAAAUAUUAUUGUAAUUUGAUUAAAAUUAUGGUGGAAAGUGUUAUUAACCUACCAUAGUUGAUUAAAGGGAAAUUUGAUAGGAUCUAUUGAAUCUUAUUAACUUGCUAAUGUUGAAUGAUUUUAUUAUAUCUUUUAAACUGAAUGUAUAAAUAUUUGAUUAGAAGCUUUGUAAGAUUUUAUAACAUAUAUGUGGUCUUGAAAUUUGGUACAAUGUAUAUCGGAUAACUUUCAAGCAUCGUACACAAAAAUUUUGAUUGUUUAUUAAAUGAUUUCUACUAUUAGAUUAUAAAUGUUAUUACGAAAACAAAGUUGUUUUACUACUUGUAAUAGUGCUCGUGAUAAUAGCCAGGGUGAUGACGAUCAUGUGAAAGAUCUUCAAGUAUAUUUUACUAUGAUUUAUUAUAUCAUGUUUAUUAUAAUUGGAGACUAAUCAUGACAACACGAAUAGAUGGAUUUUAAUUUGAAAUCCACGCAUGUUUGCGAUGGUGAUUAUGAAAUAAAAAAUCUUUGGGAUGUUUAUAAGUUCACCCUAGUAAAUCUAUUGCAUUCCUUGAAGUGAACGCAAGCAUAAAAGAAAAUAAAAAUCAAUAUUAUUCUAGUAUUUGGUAGUACAAAAUUAGUCGAAAGCUCCAAAAGAGCUAAUAUAUUAAUAUAUUGUGAUAGUUAAUCCAUUGAUUUUAAAAGAUAUUCAUAAUGGAUCUCAUAUUGAGAUUGUGAAUGAGGAAAAUAUUAUAUUUUAUAUGAAUCAAAAGAGGAUUGAAUUAUUGAUUACUCUUGAUAUUAAAUUGAAUUUACUGUGACUAUCUUUGUGAUCUUCUUUUGUCAUCAUCCUCAUUAAAGGGUUUGAAAGCAAAAUAUUUGACUGAGAAAGAUCUACUUAUGAGCAAUAGAAUAUGGCAAUUCUAUCUAAACCUCGUUAUGGUUGGAUGCACCUAAAUUUGCAAGUUAUUUUUAAAAAAAAAACUAUGAGUAUAACUCUAUAGUAUUCAAAAUAAGUUCUCAGUUAAAAUUACGUGGAAAAAUAUUACUGAUGAAAACUUGCAAGAGAGAAAACUUAUGUAUGAAAAGUCAUUGGUUAUGUACAUGUUGUACACUUGGAAAAUAAGAUACACUCUCAAAGUUUGCUAUUAAUAGAUUUUAAUUUGAUUCAAAGUCUACUGCUGGAGUUUAAUUUGCUUACUUCUUGAUAAAAUCGUCAAGACUCAAUGCAGGAAAAAAUAUUUUGGCAUAUUCCUUUAAGCGAAUAUUGCAUAUAAUUGUUUGAAAUUUAUAUUUAUUUUGUUGACUUAGUGACAUUAUAGACUUCAUAUUGAUUUAGACGUUUCUAGUAGUAAAUGUCACAAUAAUAUUUAUAUGUGGAUACAAAGUAAAAGGAAUGAUAGUAAGAUUAUCAAUUUGUCACAAUUUAUAUUGACAAUAUUAGUACAAUUGAAAUACAUGUUAAAGUAAACCAGAAGUUUACUAAUACAAAUGCAUUUAAUACUUGGCGUGACCAGUUGGACCAUCUUGAAUCAUAUAUGAUGCGAAAAUUAAUUGAGAAUUCAUAUGUACAUUCAUUAAAAACCAGAAGAUUUUUUUAAUUUAAAGAAUUCUCAUUUGUUGCUUGUUCUCAAUAAAAAUUGCUUAUUAGAAACUCACUAGAUAAAUUUGAUAUUUAAUGUCUUGCAUUUCUAAUUUGAAUAUGGGCUCAUUCAUCCACCAUGUGGAUGGUUUUUAUAUUGUAUGAUUUUGGUAAAUGCAUCUAUAAAAUAAUUGCAUAUGUGUUAUCAACUUGCUACAUGUUGCUUGCAAGAUUGUUUGUUUAAAUAAUUAAUUUCAGAUCAUGCAAUUAAUACAAUUCAUCUUGCUAAUACUGAUGAGUUUAUAUCUCAGUCUUUUAUUGAUUGAGUUUGAAAAACUUCUGUAAAAUUUUCUUAUUGAUGCGCAUAAUGAUUUAGAAAAAUUAUUGAUUGAAUGCCUCUGGUUAAUGUCUAAACCAUUACUUAUGAUAACUAAACUUCCUAUUUCAACAUGAGAUUAUGUUGAUUUAUGUGUUGUACGCAUCAAGCCAAUAAGUUAUAAAUACUCUCCAUUACAAUUGAUUUUGGGUCAAGAGCUAUCAUCUUUGAAUUUUUGUAUGUGAGUAUAUGUUCCAAUUAGUUCACCACAACAAAAAUGAGUGAAUACUCAAAGAAAGUUGGGAAUAUAUAUUAAUUAUGAGUCUUCUUGUAUUAUUAUGUGUUUUAAUUGUAUUGGAGAUUCAAUUAUAACAUGAUUUGUUAUUACUAUUUUGAUUCUAUAGUUUUCCCAACAUUAGGGGGAGAGAAAUAAUAACUUAUAAUGAGUUAAGGGGGAGUAAUUUGAACUAGAAGUUCAAUUACAAGUUCCAAAUAUGAAAAUUAUCAUAAAAGAAACAAUAAAUCUAGAUGGUCAUAUAGUGAAGGCGGGUGCUCUAGAAGAAACCCAAUACAUAACUAAUACGUAACUCCAGAAGAGAUUUAGGUAGCUGAAACUGAAGAUUAAAAUUGUGAAAAUAAGAUAUCUCGAUAAGUUAUGUCAAUUCAAGAAUAUGUGGAACUGAUAAUUAAAGUGGCUGGCAAUGGUUUUGAAUGCAAUAUUAUUAUUGAAAUAAUGAAAUAAAAAGAUAAUCUUGAAUAAAUCUAUUGAGAAAUGAAAGUUCGAUCAAGCAACUCGAAAAUGCCAAUAAGGGAGGUGAAUUGGCCUUUAAAAUUUUGGUGAAAGCAAAGGCAAGAAUGAAACAAAGAAUUUAGAGUGGUUCGGCCCCAAUUGCCUACUCCACUACCUUAGCUUUCCACCACUAAGGAUUUUUCCCAAAUUCACAAAUUUGUUCAACCUUUGAGGACAAGGUUUAACCUUACAACUCCUUAAGAUUUUUACCCCAAAUUUUAAGUUUCAAAACCUCUCAAAGAUAUACAAAUAAGCAAACAAAGAAACUAUCCUUACAAGAUAAAUUUAUUUGCAAAUUGAAGCACAAAUACAAUGAGAUACACUUGAGCAAAAGAAAAAAGAUAAGGCUCACAAGUGUAUGUAAGAAGAAUAUGAAAAUUUAAGCUCUAAGAUUGUUUGAUUUAUGAUUUUUUCUUGAAAGUACUUUAUUGGAUGUUGUAGGACUUUAAAAGAUGGUAUUUAUAUCCCCUAAUAGAUUUCCAGCCAUUGAGGUUGUUGGUGAAGAUAAUAUGGUCGUUGGGAUGUAAAAUCAGUGCAUUUAUUUCACCUACAACUGCGAGUAUCAAUACCUCCAAAAAGGGUAUUGAUAUUCUUUUGUCAUAAAUGCUAAUUUAGUGACAGUUGGAAUGAAAUAAUCGAUACUUCAAAAAUAUUUUAUCGAUACUUCCUAGAAUAGGUAUUGAUACCUGAUCGAUACUUUGUAGGGUUUAUGAGAAAUAGAAUACAAUUUUGGUAUCGUUCUUAAGAAGGGUAUUCAUUAUUUUCAAAAAGUAUCGAUACCGAAAGCAUAGUAUCAAUAAUUUUUAAGGUUUUGAGAGAAUGUCUUUUUGGUCUCGAUUUUUCUAAGGCUAUUGAUUAUUUUCAAAAAGUAUUGAUACUUGGCCAAAUGGUAUCGAUACUUUUUGGCCUGGAGCAAUUCUAACUUGUUUGAAAAUCAUUUUGAUGUGCUAAAAUGAUUUUAACUUAAUUGAGAUCAUUUUGACUUGGUUAAAAACAUUUUCACUUGAUUUUAAAAUUGUUUCAAAAUUUUCUAAGAGUUUAUUGUAAGUAUUCAAAUUUUUAUUUCUUAGAAUUCAAAUUAAAAAUUAUUUUGCCAAACUUAGCUUAUAUUCAAAAACAAUUUUAAUUUAUUAUAUCAAAUUUUUUUAUCAAACAAAGCUUAGUUUAACAAUCUCCCCCUUUUUGAUAUAACAAAAUAUUUGGUAAAUUUAUUUUUGAAUAAUUGUCCCCUUAAUAAAAGACAUUUUAAAUUUGAGGCCAAAAUAAAAUUUGUCAUUCAAGUUGGCAUUCAUUCUUACUUUAAAAAAAAUUUUGGUCACAAAAAUUUGCAUUUAGUUAUCAACAAAGAGUAAUCUCAAUCAAUUUACCCUUUCUUCUCCCCUUUUUUGUUAUAUCAAAACACAAAUAAAGCUUAAAGAGAAAAGAAGUUAGCUCAUCAAAAGAUAGAUAAAGUGAAAUGAGCAUCUAAAAAUAUAUAUCCUAAGAUACAGAUGAAGCAAUAAAGUGCAAUAACAAGUUAUAGGCAUAAGCAUAAAAAUAAAUGUGCAAAUUUUAUGAAAAUGAAAUGUAUAGUCUAGAGCUAGUCUAAUCAUCAUGAUGAGGGAAGAAAGGAGGCUUCAAAGGGGAACGGGCUAAGAGAGAUGCCAUUUGCGUCUCCAAAGUCAAGAGAUGAAAGUUAACAUCUUCCCUAAGACCUUGAAUGUUGUUACUCAAGGAAUGGAUAGCAUCGAGGAUAUCACUAUUAACCUCGGAGGAGGUUGAGCAGUAUGCGACAAAGAAAGUGGUGGAGCAAUGGACUCAGGUACUAGAAUAUCGUCAAAGGCAGUGUCGACGUCAUCAUCUUCAUUACCCCUCGGUUGUUCAUGUUUCAUCCAAGUGUUGGUGGCAACAUCGAAAUGAUAUCUCGCAUGAUGUAGAGCCCCAUAACUAAUAGGUUGAUUAGAAGAAACGAAGGUGUCCCCAUGGGUGCUAAUGCCUAAUUGCCUAAGAACAUAUGAAAAAUACGUACCAUGAGGAAGAGUGAUAUUUUUAUUCAUCCCUCUUCCAAUAGCUUUCGUAAUGUCAUUAAAUAAGACAAGUGCAAGGUCAAGGCACCUAUCAGACUUAAAACAAUCGAGCCACCAAUAAUCGGUGUUUUGAAGCUUGGCAUGCUUUUUGAUAGGUUUUAAAGUCCAAGUGAGAAUUAAAUAGAGGACACGAUCAUGGAGAUUGAGUUCGAAUGUCGAUCCGGACUAGAUAAAAAGGGAGGGAUCAAAAUGCCCUUUUUCAUCGGAGGAACCUCCGGAAGGUAAUUGAAGAAAAUUGCAAAACUCUUCGAGAGUGAGACGAAUAGGAGUUCCCAUUAAAAAUGAGGUGAUGGCAAUAACGGUAUCACCGGACUCAUCAUGUUCGAGUUUGGCAUUUGAAAAUAAAGCUCGAACAAGAUUUAAAUAAGUUGGUGAAGAAAUAUUUUAAAAAUCCAUCCACCCCUCAAUUUUGUAAAAUAGAGAGAUAAGAAAAAAUAAUAGCUUCUAACAUGGCUAUAUUAAUUUUCCUAGCCUCCCAUACACGUUUUGAUGCAAAAUACAAGUUAAAAACAUACCAAGAGUGUGAAUCUUGAAAACAAGUGCUAAACGAUGACUCCAACUCACUAGAUGGGUUAGAAGAAGAUGCACUAGUCCUAGAACGCUUCAUUGGGGCCAUACUAGCUAUUAACCACUUAGAAAAACACUAAAACCAAAAAAAAAAUCUCUUUGAGAAAUUUUGUCGAACACUUGGUGGUUAAAGUUUAAAAAUAAAUUUAAGAAAUAUGUUUUGUAACGCCCUAACUAAUUUAACUUUGUUUCUAUGAACUCUAUCAUAAUUGAGUAUCUGCUUUAGUGGCUAAGUGUUUUGAUUGUGUGUUUGAGGUCUUGGGUUCAAGUCUCACUCUUUGGAAAGUUCUGUUAUUUUUUUUUCUAAUCUUAUCCUAGGCGGUUUGGCUUAUAUUCUAUUGCUAGUCAAAUUAUAUUAGAAUGACCCUGUUGGUUCGAGUGGUAACAUGUUAGCUUGCCCUGUAGUCUCGUGUUUGAAUCCAUGUUGUAACGUGAAUGAUAAUUUUUGCUGCAGUUGUCUGAUAGAGUUUCGACAGAGUUGAAAUUCUAAGGUAGUUGGAUGUGGAUUGAGGUGUCAAAUUUUAAAGGAUUAGGUUGGUUAGUGGGUUAGUGGGGAGUUGGGGGGAAAUUAGUGAUAUUUUAUUAAUAUUUUAUUUUAUUUUAUUUUUUCCCAAAAAAAAUUUCCUCUGUUUCUAACGUUCCUCAUUUUUCCCUUCUCUGCAAUUUAUUUUCUUUUUCAUUUCCUUUCAAUUCUGUCCACAACCUUUUAUUCUUAUCGUUGCGUCCAGAUUUUCGGUGUUCUUCAUGCGGUUUUGGUAAGUGGGGUUUCACUCGUCUAUAGGUUUCGGUUUCUGUAAGAUUGUUUGGAUUUAUUCUUUUUAUAAAAGCGUAAUGGUGUAAUUAGAGAAUCUGAUUUGAUUUGAAAAUUGUUAUGUAGGAGAAGGCUGUGAAGUAGUGGGUUUUACUCUAACUACCUAAAUUGUGUCUGCGGAGGUUUUCGUCGGUGAUAAGUUGGGUGCAUUGUUGGAUUAUUGUUGAUGAAUUCAUAAAUUAAAUUGCUAAAAAGGUGUUUGGUAUAUUGUUUUUAGGGUUCGGCGUUCUCGAGUUCACUGUAGCAUAAAAAACGAACCAAGUGUGUAACAAAAAAGCGAUAAAAUAAAGUUCGAUAAAAGCCAAAAAAGUGGCCUGUCGACACCGCACAGACAUAUGUGAACCCCUCUUGCAUGCGAACUCAUACGUAUAAACCCCUAUUAAGUGAACCCAUAUGUAAAACCAUACGGGAGUGAAUACACGAGCCCUUGGAACAUACAUGCGAACCCUAGUUGUUAUGACAUGCGUACACAUAUUUAUACGAGCCAACUUGUAUAAUUAUGACAUGUGAACUCCCCUUUACAAGCUAUUACUUGUGAGCACCUUACUGCUAAUAUAUGUGAUCUUAUUUGAUUCUAUAUGUGAACCAUGAUAUGUGAACCCUAGAAUUAUGCGAGCCUAUAUGUGGACCCUAGGAUUAGGUGAGCCUAUAUGUAUGUGACCCCUAGAAUUAGGCGAGCCUAUAUGUGAAACCUAGGAACAUGCAAGCCUACAUGCGAACCCUAGGAAAAUAUGAAUCUAUGUGCGAACCCUAGGAACUUGUGAGCCUAUAUGCGAUCCCUAGGUUCAUGCAAGCCUAUAUGCCAUGCGAACCCGAGGUACAUGCGAGCAUAUAUGAUCAUGUGAACUUGUAAAUGUGUUAAAUAAUUAGACUGAUAAUUCACAUAAAAUCCUGUGCAUGUGACACUGUUUUAUUUGUUUACUUGCACUAAUUAUAUGUAAUUGUGUGAUAAUUAGAUAAAUGUAUGCUACAUGCGUUAUAACGCCAAUAUGAAAUAUUGAAGAUAGCAUAAAAUAAGGAUAAAAAGCAUAGAACAUGCUAAUUUUAUGUGCAUAAUUACACAAAAUCUGGGAUGGAGUACGGAGGAGUUCCGUAGGAGACAAUAGCAAAUUAAGUCCACAUCCAAAGUCAGUACUGCGCAAAGUAGGUGACAAUGUCAUCUAAAUCAGACAAGACGAGAUGGUAGAUUAAAAAUACCAUCACAACUUAACCAAACCAGGAUGAUAGUUUAAAAAGUCAUCAAAACCAAGCAAUCGAGAUGGUAAGUUAUUAUAGUAAACGUCACCAUCACAGGCAACAACUGAACAACCAUCAUCACCGAAAAUCAAACCGGGAUGACAAGAUUAUAGUGGGUUUUUGGAGUGUCGAGCAACGCUCGAGGGUGAAUAGGAUGUCAUGUGUCGCGAAACUAACUAAAAAUCUGAUAAGGCAAGUGCAUGUACUAAUUAAUAAUAUAGCUACGGUGAGCAAAGAUACCAUUCCUACAAAGACUAAAAGUAGUAAUAAUUACCGUUUUUCUAUUAUUUAACUAAUAAAUUGAAGUGAUUGAUGAAAACUAAAAUUAACUAAAUUAAUUAACUACGAACACAAAAAAGAAGAAUUCAGGAAAAUAAUCGAUUAACAACAAAGAAAUAAAACAAUGCCCAGGAAAGAAUUUACCUACACUUCAUUUGUCACUAUCAAUCUAAAUUACGCAAUUUAUUUACUUAGCAUCUUGAUCCGUGGAAAUCCUUAAAUUAUGCUAAUAUCUCUUUCGAGAGUAAGAGCAACUGACUCUAGGUUGAUUAAUUGAAAUUUCUUUCUAAUUAAAACACUUAUUAUAGCAUUAACUCGAUUUAUGGAUUCCCCUAUCAGAUUUGACUUUAAUCCAGUAGAUAUAUGUCAUCCUAUUUCUAGGAUUGCAUGCAACUCCACUCAAUUACGCUAGAUCUACUCUUAAACAGAGUCUAUUCCUCAUUUGAUUUAAGCGCAUCAAACAUGGUAAAUAUUCUACAAAUAUCAAACCAAGAAUUAAGCAUACAUAAUUGAGAACAAGAUCUAAGUAUUUAUUGCAUAAAAUAAAAAUCAAACCAUAGAAUCCAUCAUAAGGUUCAUCUCCCUAGGUAUUUAGAAAAUUAGUUCAUGCUUGCAAAUAAAAUCAUCCAAGACACGGUAUAAUCAAAAUAAACAAAGAAACUCACGAUAAUCUCCUAAGAAAUCAACUGGGAAUCUUCAAUAUUGAAAGAAAUCUGAUUAAAUGCUAAAAAUGCAUAUUUUAUGUAAUUAAAUUGGUUAAUUUAUGAGAGUGCACCACUGAUUUUUCCAUGUUUAUAUUGAAUUUUAUAUAGGGGUGCAAUUUGGGGUCAAAAGAGAAAAAGGAGAAGCAAUUAGACUAGAUUGAAUAAAGGAGCAAAAAAAGAAGGGCCAAAGCAGAAUUUUUCCAAGAUUUAAUUAGCUGAAAUUUUAUGUUGACUUAGUAGGAGAUUAUGUAGGGAUUUUUAUAUCAUGAAAUAUUUUAUUUCCUUGAUUUUCUAUGGCUAGUGGCUCUUAAUUUGGCAAAGCCACUAGUAUAAAUAGGGGCUACUAUGUUCAUUCAUUCAUCAAGUCAUAAAUCAAGCUUUCAUCUUUGAAUGCAAUCUCUUCUUCAUUCUCACGAAGUUAUUUGUUGUUUUUGGUUUCUUUUUCUUUCAAUUUAUUAACUUUUAGUUUGUCACCAACUUGAACCAUUUACAAUUUCUUUUUCAAACUUCCUUUUCAUUUCUAGUAGCUAGCCAUCCCACUUUAAUACACUACCAAAAUUCCAGCCCCCAUACUUAAUCACGCCACCCAUUCUUUUUACCCAUUUUUACCUUAUUUAAUUUAUCCAACUCCAAUAUGCCCCAAACCUUAGUUAACUAAAUUCAUUUUCAACUUUGUCGGAAUUAGCCUCGUCAAAACCCGUGAGUUACGAACCCGAGCAAUUUAACUCCUAAAUUCCAGUACUUAUUAUUUCUCCAGAUUAAGAGUAUGAUUUUGUCAACUCACAAAGUCAGAUCAACACUAAGUCAAAAAAAGACGUCGUUUGAGUUAGUGUGGUUAGACGUACAGUUGGAAUUCCGAAAGGAUCGAUUGUCUGAUUGGUUUUCCGUGAACACAUUGGCGUGCCAAGUGGGGAUUGCUGUUUGGUUCCGUCAAGGGAAGUAGUAAUUGGAUUUAAGUGUCCCACGCAGUUGAGGGCAUUGGUUCGAGCUAGGCUCUUCUAGAAUGCAAAGCUGCCGGAGUUCUAAAUCACGAACGUUUUGUUGGUUGUUCGAUCGGUAAGGGUUAGUUAUUGGAAGUUCCUUAACUAAUUUACACAAGGAAGAGUUGGUGUCCGAGGCGUCCUUGGUAGCUAUAACUAGCUUAUUGGAAAAGAGGAGUUCAUCUAAUUUCGAGGAUCAGUUCAAAGACGAGGGAAAACCCGUGCCUAAAGUUGAGCUUAGUUUAAUUAAUUUUUCUUCAGAUCUAUUUAACUAUUUUUAUUAUUUUAUUUUCAGAUUUUACUUUUCACGCAUUUUUUUCUAUUUAUUUUAGGUUCUAGGUUUUCAAUUUUAUCCUCCCCCCAAAUUUCUUGGGCACGACAACUGUCUAAACACGAAUCUGGUCGAGAAAGAGAGGAACAAUUCGCAGUAAACCCAGUCUCUGAGGGAUCGACCCUACUCCCUAUACUGUUUAAAUUUGCAAAUUAGGGCGUAGUUUUAUAUUAGUGGAAUCGACAGCCAUCAAAAUCUGCUUCAGAAUCGGUUUCAAUGGUGUUUUUUGAGUUGUUUUCUUGAGUACUCUAUGACGGCUCUCUCAUAUCUUCUUAUUUUUGUCAUAUAUACAUCUUAGAAUAGCUAAAAAAAACCUAAAAAUUGUGUUUUCUCGCAGUUCAGAAUGCCAAUUCAUGAAAUCGACAUGACUUGCCACAUUGCAGUGUGGCAGCCCAUGUGUCUUACAUGACCGUGUGGAAGGGUUCAACCCAUGUGGCUUCUGUACCUUACUCUAAUUUUCACUCGUUUUUCACUCCUUUUGCUCCCAAAUACUCUCCAAAGCAUAAAAACAUGAAUUUAAAGGAUUAGGAGAAUAAAAUUAACCAUUAACAUUGAAUAAUCACCCAAAAAUGCAUUAAGAAUGAGAUUGAAACAUGUUACUUUUAUCACUUGUCAAGAUGGAUGGGUUGGAACUUAAAUUAUAUGUUGCAUCAUAUAUAAUUGUUAUUCAUUGAUUUAUUAUAUGUUUCAUGAGGAAUGCUUUAAUUUAUAUCGACUUUCAUUUGAGUUAUAGUUGUCAAUUAUAUGGAAUGAUUUAGAAUUUAGUCUCACACUGAGCCGUUUUAUGCUCAUUCCCCCUUUCUUUCCCUCUCAGGUAGCAUAGAGAACUAAGACUCGGAAUGGCAUUAGAAGAACCUCGGAUUAGUAACUCCUUUUUCUUUUUUAUUAUUUUUAAGUUUUUAUUAAAGUUUUCUUUAAUCAUUUUAUUUUCGAGUUGUAAGUAUUUCUCGCUUUUAUAUCUAGGGUAAAAUUGUUUAGCUUUUUUAUUUUAAGGCAUGACACUUAGUUAAUACUCUGAUAUUCACAUGCUUUUCGGUUUAGAAACCAUCACUCUAAAUUUUUUCCACUGCUUUACAAAUACUUAAAGUUUUAAUAAGUCCUUUCUUAAAAACCUUACAUCGUUUUCCAAAAUAUUUACAUUAAUAAUAUUGUAAUUGAAUUUUUAAGUAAAGUUGGUUUAAAUCAAAUGAAUGUUUUCCUAAAAAACAAAAGAGCGACUUUUCAUACAAAUCAACGCAAAUAAAAGAGAGGCUUUUCAGGAUCACCUCAGUGAUCGAAUGUAAUGUCUUCAACUUAGCCAAAACUCCUAAGUCAAGUCGGGGUUGUUACACUAAUCAACCCUCCAAAAAAUAAUCCUUGGAAAAUUGAAGGAUGAAAAAUGAAAUCCCAUGACUUCUUAAAAAAUCGAGAAGAAAACUACUUCUAAAUAUCACAAGAAAGCAAUCUUGCACAAAGAAACUAACUCCCAGAGUUAGAAAUUUUAUUAAUGAACAAAAACAAUUGUGUAUCUAAUGAACAAUGAAGAGGCCUUUAUAUAGGCUAGCUAAUUACAUCAAAUAAAACUCUCAAGUAUAACAAACCUCUAAUUAACAUAACAAAGAAGUAGUUUUAAACUAAACUUUUUUGUUUGACUAAGAAAUAUAAAACUCCUAAGCAACUUAAAAUACUUAAAAAAAUCUAAAAUUCGGAAUAAAUAAAUAAUAAAAUAAUAAAACCUAAUCAAUACCAUAUUGCGCUCAUAUAUAAUAAAAACUAAGCUUAAAAAUUGAACCCAAUAUGAUUUAAACGGGAAUUAAAAGCUCGAAAAUCUUAAUUUCCAUAAUAAUCUCGUCCAUGAAUCAAGUGAUUCAAAAUGCGUUUCAAAGCUAAGAGAUAGAUAUUCAAAUUCUAUCAAGAAUCUCAACCAAGAAAUGCCUAAAUAUCAUCCAAAAAGUCAUCACAAGUCAACUAAAUUUCCAAACUUCAAAAUUAGCAGCUUCAGUGAAUGGAAUUUAAUAAAUUUCACCUCAUCCGUGCAUGUAUCAGUUUUCAUAGUAUUUUGAGAGGUAAUUUUAACUUUUAGGUUAGUUUUUAUUACAUUUUAUAGUUUUUCAUAUUAAUUAUAUUUUAUUUGAAUGUUGUUCUUUUUUUUAUCAUUUUUAGAGUUAGUUCAAGUUUACUUGAUAUUUUUCUUUCUCCAUUGUAGGUAUUCGAUGAAGAAUGGAAGACUUGAAAAAAACAAAAAGUGGUGAAGAGAAGCCUUCUGCUCCACCGCCCUCUAUCAAAUCUAAUUCAAUAUGGUGGAGCAUGUUUUAUAUUUGGUGGAGUGGCGCGAUAAAAAAAACCCUAAAAAUAAGCGUGGGAAAUUUUAAGAAUGAAAAAGGGAAAGAAAAAGAGAAGAAAUCACUGGGAGGAAAAAAAUUAUCUCACACCAAGGGAAACUUCAAUUUGCAAAGACAAGAAGAAAAGGAGAUCCAAGGAGCUCGAUUCACCUUCUUCAUUUAUUUUCUCUCUAAAUUAUUUCUUUUACUUUUAUUGAAGCAAAUUUGUUUUAAAUUUCUUUGUAUGAUGUUUUCUCAACUCAUGAUGAACCUAACUUUAUUUUCUUGGAACUAUGAUGGAUUUUAUAUCUUAAUUAAUUAUUUUUCUCUUCAAUUGUGUUGCUCAAUGUUAAUUAUUUGUGCAAUUUCGUGUUAAUUUAAUCUCCUAGCUCGACCCCCAAGUUGUAUUAAUUUGUCUUGAAAGAGGAAGUUAGUGUUGAGAUCUAGAUUGAAUAGAUUAAGAUUUAACUUUGGUAGCGCUAAUGAACAAGUUAAUUUGUGGCUAGGAUAGGAAUAUACCUUAUGCUCUAAUCAAUCCAAUAGGUUUGUUCUUAAUGACUUAACCCAACUUGCCUAGCAUAGGAAUAUAUUUAGGGAUUAACUUAGCUAGAUAAAGGAAGGAUUUAGUUAAUGACAUCGAAUCUUGGGUUAGUAAUUACAUAGAUUGAACAAUUGAAUGAUGUUUAAUUAAAUAAUUAGAUUAGAUGAGGUGAAGUUAGAGUUUAUUUUAUUGAUCUGGAUUAAAUAAAAUUAAAUUGUUUGUAUUUAACAACUUAAAAUUUGAUCCACAUGGGAAUAAUUUCUUCUUAUUACUUUAUUAUAUUGAUAGACCGUAUUACAAAUUUCAAGAAUAAAAAAUAUAAUGAAAAACUAUUGAUAAUAAACUUUAUAAUUAUAAAUAUUAAUGAAUGAUGAAUACUAAUAAAUUAGGAGUACAUGGUUGACACAAAUGAUUAGUCAACCAUUCAUGAAGCAAUUUGGCAUCAAAUUGUAAGAGUAAACCAUUUAAACACCAAAGUUAAAAACAUUAAAAAGAAUUAUAACAUAGUUGUUAUAUUACUAGUGAUUCAAUGACAUGUCAAUGUAAUAUCUAUCAAAUGUUACAAUGUUUAACAUGCUACUGCCAUGCUCACAUAAAAUAAUUAAUUUUUUUACAGUUAGAUAUUAAGAGAAAUAAUAUAUAACAAGUAUUGAUAGUAAAUUUCAUAAUUAUAAAAUGGUAAUGCAUAAUAAAUAAUAUUAUUAGUAAUAAUGUUUAAAAGGUUCAUGGAAAUAUUCCAAUGACAUUAUAAAUUUAUAAAAAUAUUAUAAUAUUCAUAUUUUUAAUUAGAAAAUAUUAUAAAAUUCACAUUUUAAAUAUACAAAAAUGGAGAAAGAUUGUAUAUUUAUUUCCACUUAUACUAAAAUUUAAAUUUUAUGCUAUGUUUUAUAUUAAUAUAAUAUCAUACAACGUAUUUUAAUUAUAUUUUAAUAAAAAUAUUAAAUUAACAUAUUAUAAUUCGAUAAAAUAAAUUGAAAUUAGUAUAUGUAUAUAUGUAAAAGUAAUGUUCAAGCCAUUGGUCCCAUUGACACUAGUCCGAAUUUAAAGCUCUUUUUUAUAUAUUUUAAAUGAAUGGUCCAAUUUCAUUUUGGUCCCUAUAAUAUGCUCAAAGUUUUAAUUUAACAUUUAUAUUGCAUUCAGAUUAAAAUAUUAACAUACGUAUGUCCAAAUACACAACCUUUUACUUCUUUUUCAAGAAUAUAUAAUAAUGAUCAAAUUUGAGUUUUGAUUCCUAUAUUAUACUCAAAUUUGAAAUUUAAUCUUUAUCCUUUAAUUUUUAAGGUAACUUGUUAUCUCAACUUUUAUAAUGUCAUUGUUAAUCUAAAUACUUCAUUUUGAUUAAAAUACUAAUGUACAUGUGUCUACAUGUAGCUUCUUUUUUCUUUUUUACUUUUUAUAGAUUAUAUAAUAAUGGUCAAUUUUCAAUUUUAAUCCCUAUACUAAUCUUAAAUUUGAAAAUUAAUCUCUAUAUUUUAGUUUUUGGACAUAACUUGCUACUUCAAUUUUUUUAAUAUCAUUCGUUAGUCUAAAUACCCUAUUCAAAUUAAAACAUGGAGGUAAAUUUUUAAGAAUUGUCAAUGCAGUUAAAGUUCUUUGUUAAAUUUAAGAUAUUAGAUUGUCUUUUUUUUUACAUAACUAUCAAAUGAAUAUUUUUAAAAUUUUCAACAUGUCACCCCAGCAAAUGUAACAAAAAGAAAUUUAAUGGUAUUAACAAUUGGAGCUAAAUUUUUAAAGUCAAAAAGCAAAGAGACCAAGUUCAUAAAAAAAAUUGAGAUUAAAUUUAAAAUGUAGAACAUAUUUUGAUUAAAAAAAUUAAUUGAAGCAACGUAGUGCGUGGUGGAAACAAUACUAAUAUAUGAUUAUUGGUGAGAAAUCACACGACUAUAAGAUACCAAUCGAAACACAACACAUACAAAGAAAUAAAGGAAAAAGAAAACCCGAAGCUCAGUACAAUUAUGUGAAGUAGAGGCUUAUAAUAAGCAUGAUUUUCCCUCACAUUUGAGAUCACAUAUGGAGAACCAGGAACUAA